ensembl:lncRNA
CCGCCGCCUCCGAGCAGCACCGUCGGGGCGCGCGGCGAUCCCUGCAGCCGGCCCCGCCCGCGUUACGGGCCGACGUCCUGACCGCGCCGUCUCGUUCCGCAGGAGCGGAGGGGCUCGAGCGAGAGGCGCGGUCCCGGCCGUAAGCAAGAAACUUUCCUCGCUCACAGAGCCCUCUUGGAGCAGCACGGCGCCCCGCUGCCAGGGAGCUCCUGGCGCCGGUCCGGCCCCGCCGCCCUUCUGGUUGCGGAGAGGCGCUCCCGGCCCGACGGACCCCGCGCCGCGUCCGUGCCGGAGGUGCCGCCAAAUCCGGACCGGAGCAGAAGGGAUUCACUGUGAACUAUGAGCGCUGCGACAAAACUUUUCUAAGUGACAGAAGCGUGCAUAAGUAAACUUGUAUGCAGAAAUUAAAAUCAACUGGAGUUGGUAGCAUCCUCUCUGGAAGUUAAAUAUCGUUCAAAGCUGGGGCGGCACGGGGGUCGGGUUGCGCGUAGCCGAUGGCCUCGGACCGUGCGGGAGUCGGGUACCGCUGCGGGACGGGCAGCAGCACCGAGGCGGCCGGGGGCAGCGCGACUGCGGCAAGGAGACGGGGGAAGGAAGACGGGCGGAGCGGCAUCGGAGAUAGCAGAAAGAAAAACUCCGCUGAGAAGUGUGAAAAGAAAAGGAGGGGGAGGAGCCGCCCACAUGCUGCCAGGAGCCGUCCCGCUGGCAGCUUCUCCUCUCUGCUGUAUCGCUGCCGAACUGGGCGCCAAGACAGGACAUAUGCAAAAUCAUUUCACUGUGGCACAAACACAAGAAACAUGAUUUGGAAGAAAGGACAGGGGCCAGAGUGUCUGUCUCUUAUUCUCCACUCGCAUUGCUGCAAACUGGGUAAGUCAUCUAAUAUCUCUCUGCCUUUUUUCUGCUUCUACACAAGGUUAUUUUUUUCUUAAAAGCUUGAAUUCAGUGAAUGAAAUUCUGAUUUAUUAUUAUUAAUAUAUUCCAAUAAAUGGUUGCAGUGCUUUAGCAUCGCUUUGAAGUCAGUCGAAUAAGUAUUAAAGAAAUUGUGAAUGGCAAGAAACCUCAGUUCGGUCCAUCUGAUAUGCCUCUGUUGAAAUGUUACUUGUGGGAUGACCUUCUCAAAACAAGGAACUGAGAAAGCUACGUGUGCUAAAUGGAUCCUGGAGGCUCGAGAAGCUUUUUCUCUCAUCACUCAUCCAUCACGAAUACACUGACAUGAGUCGUGGCCCCAAAUCGCUAAGAGUAACUUCUACAACAUAAAGCAUGUAAAUGUGCUAGUAAAUACCUUAUAACAUCAUCAGACCCAUGGCUACUCAUACAACUUUCUUCUAUCUACUGUCAUUAUUCUCCCCUUCCUCCUACCCUGCCUUACUGUUGUGAAUUAUGGGCAACUGUUGGAAAAGUGACACAGACUCUAAUUAUGUACAUAAUACCAUAAUUGAUUCAAACUACUUUGUUUCCCCAAAAUGCUAUUCUUUAUUAGCUGGCAGGCUGCUUGUUUCUGAUCCUAGCAUUGUCGGUCACAUCAGGAAAGCCAUCUCAGUAAUAAAACAGCUAUUGUGGGGGAAGUAUUAUUGGUUCUGUACAGAGCUCUUUAGCAGUAAUUAUGUACAGCUUUUAGUAAUGUGAGGCUUACCCAAGCAUCACUGAAACAAACCAUUUGCAAUGACAUGCAACGAUGCCUGUACAGUAUUUUUACAAGCAAACUGAAAUAAGACAUUUUGGUGGUAACAUGUAAAUUAGCCUUGAGGCUUGCAAUGCAAUGCUCAUCAAGUGUGUAACAUUUAAUUACAAGACCAUUGAGCAUGAGUCCUCUGAGAUUUUUCAUCCUGACAACAGAAAGAUUAUCCCACUGAACAGACAAUUUGAUUCCUCUUAUCAGAUGUGGAAUGAAUCCUCCAGUCCCUCAGCAGGCCAAGCAGGCGUUUAAGGAGUGAUGAGUUUCAGAACCCUACCUGGUAAAGUACCUUGUGGAGGUACCAGCCCUUAAGAUACCUUGCUGAAUUCCAUCUGCAAGGAAUUGAGACUUGUAGUCUCCAGGUACAAAGUACCACAGUCAUGUGGAGUCCAAUCUAAUAAAGAGCUCAGUCUGGGUUAUCUUGAUUUCUACCUUUAUAAACAAAGCCAUAUUGCACUUGAGGAGCUACAUCAUGGGCACUGCAGUGUUUCAUACAUUCAUUCAGAACUGGUUGUUUCCAACAUGCCUCAGAGCAUAGCAGCACAGGAAGCUCCAGCAAUUCUGGGCCGGUGUCAUUUGCAUCCAAAUGUGUACAGAAAUACAGACCAGAUUUUUCCUUGACUCCAGCCCCUAGCACAAACAAUACUAAGUUAUUUGUCUCAGCAUCUACUUCUAGAUGCUUCUAGAAAAGGUAGUGAUAUUUAGGUUUAGGUUGCAAGGUGGCUACACAAGGGCAUCUGAGGAGGUUGCUUCGAAAGUAAUGCCUCCCAUUUAUUUCCAUGGAAAUUACAACAGACACAGAGAGCACAAUAGCCCUUUUUGGUAGGACUCAGCUACAAAACACCAUUUUUCAACAUAGUCACCACCAUUAGCUAUGCAUUUUCACCAGUGGUGCUUAACAAUUGCACACGAAGGUUGCACCUCUCUCAAAGGCCGACCACAUGAUAUGAAAUACACAACCUUCCUCCAUUUGUUUCUCUGACUGACUUUCCCCUGUCCUGACAAACACCUGCACACUCUUCAGAGCUCUGCUCAGAGCCUGUGGUUAGGGCCCCCCGAUGACCUACACCCUCUCUGGUAGCACAUUUUAUUUUCUGGUUAUCUACACUGUUCUUCAAGUGAAGUCCUCAAUGAAUACGCUUGUGGGUGUUUUUCAUGACUAACCCUACUAGCUGACAUUGACAGAAGACAGAAAUCAUCUAUGUGGAAACUUCAGAGUAUCUCAUACAGGUAAGUUUUGUGGCAAACACAGCUUACAAGUGUUGCCUGGUUUGAUGAUGAGUGUUAAAAUUUCAUGGUUUGUUUUUUUAAGUCAUAAAGCUUGGAGUUAUAAAUGGCACAUAUAAAUGUGUGUAAAAUUUGGCAUUUAUCUAUAAACAGUGUAGAAAGAUUCUGUCCUCGUUUUUAGUCUGUAUCCUUGAUGAACUGCAUUAAAAAAAAUCAGAGGGCUGAAGUGGGAAAGAAUAAACCAUAGAAAAGUUUUGCUCUUCAUUCUAAGGGCCUCCUCAUUUUUGCGUUUGGAAUACUUGAAGAUGACAUCAGCAUUUUGUCAGGAGGAAGGAAAGUUUACAAGAAUUUGAUUACAAGAACCGAUUGAAAUUAAUUAAACUGAGUUCUGGAUUAUGAGAGUCAUACGAAAUCGUUAGCCAUUUCAAAAAUCCAAAAUUGAUGCUAUUUUCAAGUAUGCUUGAGAGGCAAAACAAUAUCCUGUAGGUUUGCUGGAGAUAGGAUUUUCAUUUUCAAUAUCUACCUAGCACAGCAAAUAUAUUUGCUAACUUAUUGUUUGUUUAGAUGCUGGAAAAUGAGAAGCCUGAGGAACUGGCUGCCCUGCUGGAUGUAGCAAGGGAUAUGACCAGAUCUGGGACAGCUAAUGUUAAUGUUCUGACAGCAUCUAGCUUCCCAAUACUCAAAUGUUAGCUUUUUAUGCAAAUAGUCUUCACAACAGCAUGCUCGAUCUUUGCUAUUGCAUGAUUAGUGUUCUCAUGUCUAAUCAAUAAAUCCCUAGAGCCUCUCCAUCUAAUGACCAUUUUGCUCAGUCUCUCCAGUAGGGAGGUCUGUUUAGCAGCAGGUUUUCAGCAGAACAAAAUGUGGAAUCAAUAGCCUGAGAAUAAUCUGCCAGGUUGUCCUUAUGAAAUAUUUGUAUUUUUUCAUGCAAGUUCUAACAGACCAAAUGACUUUUCCAAUACGGAAGGGUUUAGUGCCUCGUAUGGAAAUACAUCAACUACACGAUCACCAGCACACACAGUAGGAUCUCUCAAGGUCACUGGUGAAUUGACUGGAGAGCUUCAAUACAGCUUUAGAGUCACGUCAUGCAGAUACUGAACACCCACCUAAAUGUUUACAAAUUGCCUCUCAGGGACUACAGCAUGUAGGUGAGCAUGGCCCUGGGAGGAAGCAUGGCUUUCGUCUUCCGUGCUCGCUCCACACCUGUACCUCCCUGCUGCUGCACAUAACAGAAAUCGAAAUCUUCUCUGCUCUCUGUUCUAGGCCUGAUCUGGGGGAGGGAUCCUGAUGCCAGCCUCCUCUCCUGGUUGGUUUAACCAGUACAGUAUAUGACAGCAGGAGCCCUCAGCAAAGAGUCUGGGGUUAGGUUUUUUUUUUAGCUUGGUUUCCUAAGGAAAUGAGGGUCACGUCACUGCUGUCUGUCUGUCUGUCCUUGUUUUUCUCUCAUACUGCCUCAAAGAAACAUUUUAUCGUGUGAGAAAAUUUCAGCCAAAAUACAAAAGCAUUGCAUGUCUCAAAAAAUAAAUGCAUACCUGCAAGAAUUCAUGAGUUGAGUGUGGUGGAGCAGCUCUCACAAAAGACUAUUACUUUUUUCUCUAUAUAGCAAGUCUACAAGCUAUCACAGCAUCAUUCCUGUUACCUACAGAGUAUGAUGGAGCCUGAUCCUGCAUCAUCCCCCAGCUAGCUAUAGGCUACGGGCAUGGGAUGAUCAGAUCUCGCCCAACCAUAUCCAGAGCUCUGGUGACGAGGCUAAUUGAUGAAGGCGCAAUUACGUGCUAAGACAUUUGGCUAUGUCAUAGCCAAAAAUCAAAAAGGACCAAAAUAAUGAAAAACUACUCUCUAAAAGUCAAUCAUCUCAUGAUCCUAUAAAUAGUGACUCUAAGCAAGACCUCUUGGAGCUCUCUGGGACCACAGCAGGCUGUGGCUUGGGAGCUCCCCCUGAGCCUUCUCAGGGAAGAUUCCUUGAAGUUUCAGAAUCAUCUGCUGACAGCCAACAUAACUGCAAUGAGUACUGCACUCUAAUAGGGGGAAAUCCUUAGGUGUGCAACUAACUUAACCCCCAGAUACAGUUGGUUUCGUGUGAACCCUGCCAUCUUGUCAGUGUCAUAUUUAUGAUUACUAUUCUGUUAAACAGCUAUCUUGCAACAAUAAACAUAAUAUUGCUUUUCUCUCACAAGUUAUUUGCAUUGCUCCCUUCAGUGACAGAGAGGAAGGAGACACAAAUCCCCACUGUUACUGAGCAUUCAGCAGCAGCCAAAGGACAAACCAACACUCCACUAUUGCUGCUCAUCAGCACAAGGCUGUUUGGACAAGCCAGUGCAGCAACUGCAUCUUAGCUGGUGAGGGUGCAUUAGGGAUGCCUGGUGGCAUCCAUCAGCAAGAGGCUCCAAGGAGCACAGGGCACAGCUCUUGUAGGCAAGCCUCUGGUUCUGCACUUUGCAGCUGUAGUUACAAUUAUGUCAUCUUCAGGAUGUUCAGCAACACAAUUUCUGUUGUUGAGAUUUUACAAUUGAGCAGUACGAAUUAUAUUAAUUCUUUAAACAUACUGUUUGCCUAAAUCUUGAGUUACAGACUGUAAUAUAAUCUCACCAAUCAAAAACACCCCACCUGCUCUCAGAUAGGGUCUGAGCCUUUUUUUUUCUUUCUUUUUUCUGAAGCAAAGCUCCCACUCAAUAUGAUGAUGUCGUAUGAAACUCGGGCUGUGCUGCUCUGCAUUUGUUUAGUAGCAAUUGAUAGGGUAAUGUAAACAUCUGUAUAUCCUUUGUAAGUAGCAGCACUUGCUGCUAGACAAAAACACAGAGAGAAUAUCCACAAAAAUAAAGAAACCAAACAACUGAUGGUGACAAAGAAAAAAAAAUCACCACUAUGAAACACAAAAUCGAUAGAUUAUGAAAGCUACUCCAAGGCUUCCACUACUAUAAUCUCAAGGUUUUAUUAUCACAUAUCAAAAAAUCAUUACUGCAAUAUCAAAACAUUCAUAAUAACAAAAUAAAAACUCCACUCAUUCUGUUCCUGCAGGGAUCUGAUCUAAAAAUCCACAAGAAAGAAAGCCACAUAACUGUUGUGAAAAUGGCAGUUGGUCACUUCAGUCAUUCAGCCACUCUGGGUCUGUAGCUGUACACCACUCACUGCAUUUCAGUGCCACCACUGUUGAUAAUUCCACUGCUCACACAAACAAAUUAUAACUAAAUUAGACAAAACAUGCAGCCUUUUGGAAAAGCUCAUAAGUGCUGCUAUCAGGUGCUCUAUUUGAAGCUUAAUGCCUUUUUAAAUCUAAUAUAACUCAUUCUCUAUCAUUCUGAGAUAACAACUUAUUAUUCAAAAUAAACACUACCUUGCCUCCUUCUGAAGUUCUUAGCAGCUUUAACUUUCACCACAUCUCCUUUCCUCAGAAGCAAGAGGCACUACAAAUAGCAUGGGAAACUUUCAUUAUUGCUACAAGGAAUGAAGCUUUAAUGAAAUCAGCUUUCUGGAACGUCACUUUUGUUCAUUUGACACUAAUUUGGCACCUUUCAUAUAUAAUUAUACAUAGUACUUUCAAAGCUAACAAUUCCUUUUUGAGCCUGCAGAUAAACAUAGCUUGUAGGUCAUGAUGGCAGUAUUUUAGGGGAUCAUUUUCCAUUGGCCUGCAUAACAAGAAAAGGAAAAAAAAGCUUUCUGGACCAGUUCACCCGGGGUGAUCUGUUUUAUUCCUGUUUGACAUCUGAAACUCUAAGUCUGACCUGAGUUUUGUAACCCCAAUCAACUCUUUGUAGUGCAUCAAUGUAUUUAACAAAUAUUUAUAAAGGUCCUCCUUUACUAGGGAACAAUCAUAAAUAUACACAACUAAUGAAUAAAAGGAAUAAAGCUCACUGCACUUCCAUUAAAACUUGUAAAAAUUAUAUCUUGUUUGGCUGGUUUUCUUCCUGUGAGUGCUGGUAGCUGAUGGCCCUUCUGAAUCCCCAGAAGAUACUCCAAGUUAGCUGACUAGACAAAAAGAAGAAGGUUUAAAAUUUGAAAGGAAUACACAGGAACCAGGCUGCUUAGAGUUGGACAAGCUCACACGGCCUUAUGCUGUGAUAUUACAUAUGGGAAAAGACCUGUGAGAAAAGUACCCUAGCCCCUCCAAAUGACAUCUUUGUAGGUGAGGAACAUCAAACCAAAGGAGCACGUGAACAGGGGGAAGAUCUGGCUUAUACAUUCUGCCUACAUGGCCUUGGCUUUUCUUCUGCUAUGGGAAGAGUGUCUGAAGCCACCCUCCAGCCUUUCAGCUGAUAACCUACUUCCUGACAAUAACUAGCAAACACUAACAUUGCACUUGGCUCUGCAGUAGACUCCAAACAGCCCACAGGCAUGGUGCAGGGUCAGCCUGCUGCUAGGCUGUUUGUUUAUUUUGGUUGACAUUUUCCUUUGUUGAGUAUCUGUUCCUUGUUAUUCUUAUGUACAGCCCUGCACAUAUCCUAUCUGUUUAACUGUCUUUGGAUAAAAGUGGGUAUUUUCCCAUGUCAAUAAAAGUUCUGGUGUGAAGCUGUGAGCUGGCCUUCGAGAGAACCACCCCCUGCUGCGUAUCUCACUUGUGCAUUGAGUUUUCUUUGUUAAUCAUGUGCAAAAUAAGAAGGCUUUCUGUCUAGCAAAAACCCAUCAUUAAUUUUUCAUAUGAGCACUAAAGUCUUGAGCAGAAUCCAUAAGUGGCUUCAAAGAAAAAGGAAUAAUAAAACCAAAGAGAUACAUCUUCCUUUCCCUUUCUUCAUUAUUUGAUAUUUUAAGAAAACUUCUUAAUGCAGUUCUCUCAGUUUCGUGAUGACACAUUCAUUUUGAAGACUACAUUUGACCUUCAACUUUGUCCUUCAUUAGCAGAACUACACCUAAACACGCCUUCACUUUACUGCAAAUGAGACAGAUGCAAUGUGUGUUCUGUUCAGCCCCAGCAUUAGGAUUAUCCCAAGAGUGGCAUUUAUGUUCUUGUAGUUCUUUGGUAUAAAUAAAUAUCAAAGUAGGAAGACCAAUCUGUACUCCACUAGGAAUAAUAAACUAAAAUAAUAUGGCACUGAUUCUGUUUGGGUUGUCUAAAUGUGUUUUUAUGAUUGUAUAUGUUUAUGGCUUUCUCACACAGCCAUCAUGAAUUCCAGGCAAUUAAAAAGGACAUGAGUUCUGAAGCAUUUUAAAAGGGGCUUUGCUUCCAAAUGGUAUGUAUUAAAAGUAGAAUACAUUUUUUUGACAGGGCUACUGCAAAGUCAACAGUCACAUAUUUCCCUUGUUCCAAAUUUUUCCCUUUCUUCUCCUGCCUGCAAUAACUAAUUAGAAUAUUCCUCUAAGUUGAGAAGAAAGGGAGGGAAAGACUACUUUUAUGUUUGCACAUAUAUUAGAUGCAUUGCUAGCAUAAGCCUGUGAGCCCCAGAUUUCAAAGCAGCUCAGAGGCAGUAUAUAGCAGGCCUUGUAUUAAGUGUAUCAACCUAUGUAUAUGCUAAACUACCUGCUUUUCCGCACUGAACAAGUUCCAUGUCUCUGUGCACAGCUGAGAGCAUGCCUGUCCUUGCUGUACAAUGCCCAGUUUACCCCCACUUGAACUCACCAGCACAGAUUUUUGAGGCAUGGUUGUAGAAAAGUGCCUUAUUUAAUUGGAGUACUUCUGCUCCAAUAUACUGAGAACUGGCAUGAGUUACUGAACAAAGAUCUGAACAGAAAAGUAAGAAAAAUAAGCAGAGAAAAAGCAGUACUUUUGAUCAUAAAGUUACAAACUGAUGGCUUGGUUUUGUCAUUUACAUAAAUUCAAACACAGAAUUGAGAGAAAAAAGACUUUAAACAAAUUUUCAACUAUGACCUGAAUCAGGUCCAGUUUCAAAAACCUGUGUUCAAUACCAUUUAGGAAGACAAGAAAAUAAUGAGUUUUAUAGGCAAAUCAAAUAGGUAUUUUAAAGGUAAAAAUAUAUUGUUUCCUGUUCAUGUCAACUGCACAACUUUAUACGUAAGAAAAUGCUAAUAAAUGGAAAAGAGAGAAAGAGAACGACAAAGUUUGUUUUUUCUCUUCCUCCCAGUAAUUUUGGGGAGUUUAAGAUUCCUUAAUUUUAGCAAUCUAUAUCCUGUUCCAUAAAGUCUCCCACAGCAGUCAGUGGAACAACUUAUAAUCUUCCUCUCUUUUCUAAUGUGGAAUCAGGUUAAUGGACUUUCCCCAGGUGAUAUUUUAAGGACUUUGGAAGAGAUGCAAUGGGGCAGGUAUUUAUGAACUGUGCUGCUGAGCCUUCCUCCUGUCACCUGCCAGAGCAAGUAAGAGGAGGAGGAAGACUGAGCUGCUGGCAAUCAGACUCCUCCUUUCCCUUUCUCUACGCAGCCUAGGGAGAUGUUUGCAUUCCACAAAAAGUUUAGGAGUUAUUUAGGAGUUAUGAUGGAGUGUCCCUAUGCUUUCUGAUUCUUUUUGUCCAUCCUUAGCUUAAAUUCUUGCAUGACUCCUUUGCCGUUUCUUUGUCAUAAAGCUAUAAAUGAGCAGUUUAAAACUCAGUAGAAUUGCCAUUCAGAUUUGGAGUUGAAUUAGAUGACCUUUAAGGGUCCCUUCCAACUCAAAGGAUUCUAUGAUUCUAUGAUUUAAAAGAGACGUACUCACUGGAGAAGUGAAAUCCUGUACAGGAUAGAGUCAUGUCAGUCCAUACUGGCACCCAAGUACUGAAAGAUGAGUUUUCAAUAGGUAAAAAGCAGCAACCAUCAACACUGAUGCUAUGUGAUGAUGAGCAGGGUCAGACUAACCUCUUGGACAGAGUGCACUUGAAUCAUUGAAGAGAAUGCCCCAGCAGCUAAUUAACUGCAUGGCAAAGAAAGAGCUUCUAUUUCGUUUCUCUUCAGGCUAGUAAAGUAUGAAUAAGCAGUAGGAGAGGGUACACGCAACUGGCACAGGCAAAGAUCUAACUCAGAGAAAAUAGACCUUUCACAGUCCACAAAUACCAGUACUUUAUGGGAAAAUCACUGGGGAUUUCUGCCACUUUGGUCAUAAUACACUGCCUUUUCUGUACUGUUUACUGUAGCUUUGAACAUUCACCUAUUACAUAAAUAGAUUAAUCACUGUGUAGUCAUAAAGAGAACUAUUAUCCCAUCAUUCUUAAGUGCAGAAUGCCAGCUGUGUUAAUAGAAAUGUAUCAUCAUGUCAUUAUUAAAUAUUCAUAUUGUUGUAUCACCAAGAGACCAAUCCUGUCAGGUUUCCUCUGUUAAAUUAUUAAUAAACAAUAGUCCCUGACAAGCUGACAUGUGUCUGUGAAAGAGUCAGAACUGACACAAGCUUCCUGUGUUUCCAGAGGAAGUGUGUAAAUCCUACUCAGGACCCAUGCUCAAUUAUGAGAUCCUUGCAGAAGAUGAAACAGGUGCUCCUGAAACAACCUUUGGCAGGAACAGGGCAGAGAGGAAGAACCAGAUGAGCCAGAAGUGGCUCCAAAGGCAAGUGGUAGUAAUCCUGUCCUGCUAAGGAAGUCAGGAGGCAAGAAAAGAAAACGAAUAGAAUAAGCAGCUCGUUACAAUUAAAUUACAGCCCAGUUUUCACAGGUUUACCCAAGCCAAGUUCUGAGCCUAGAAAAAUUAUCCCUAAGUAAUGAAGACUCCCCUGGCUAUUCAGGCCAGCAUCUAGCAGCAGACUCCAGAGCUGCCCCAGGUAAGACUGCUGCAGGAGCAGAGCUCUCCUCCUUACCAUGUGGAAUGUCUCUUGCUUGUCUAUUACAACAGGAAAUGUUUUGAAAUCUGAACAAUGCAGGAGAUCUGAGGGCAGACAGCACACAUAAUGAAAAGAAAAAAGAACUAUUACUUGGAAAUGAUUGUUGCUUUGUCACUUUUCCUUAAUUUCCUCAGUAACUGGUAGAAACCGUUCCUUAGAAAAUAUUUAGGAAAUAACAUCCAUAACACUAUUUCCCUGCCUCAGUCUUGGCCAUUGUUUCUGUGCUUUUACUUUUGAUGACAGGUGAUUUUCAAUUGUAGUCAUUUUUAUGAAUACUCAGUGUAUAAAUUAUGCAAAUAUAGUCUCUAAUUUCAGGAUACAUUUCAAAGAUUCUCCUCACCUUGAGAUGUAUAACAAGUUCAUAACAUUGUAUUUAAUGCUUCAGAUGCUUUAUGAUCAAAAAUUUUGUUUUAGAAGAUGCCCAUAAAAUCCCUAUAUUCCUUUAUGAAAGCAGAAUUCUGAGAAAUUGAAUAGCAAGGUUUGCACAGUUUGAUCUCCAGUUAAUUUGUUAAACUUAGGUAAAUAAUACAUGUUCACACUGUAACAUAUAAUUUGAAAGAAAACCUAUUUUUGUAAUUCAAAAUUGAGUAUGGCCCAUGGCUAGAACAAGCUGACCAGGAGGCAGGCUUUAGCAGAUGCAAAGCUUAUUUGAUGCUGUUGGAGCUAUUCAACUGUAACAAAGACUAUCUGUAUCCAAAGGGAGUGCUACGGAUUUGAUGGAACCAAAGGAACAAGACCUCCCUUGGUUCAAGAAUGGGAAAUAAUUUCCUGCAUUGCCAUUUUCAUUUUUGAACCUUCCUUUGCUGUUCAUUAACAAAUUCAAUGACGUUCUCGGUACAGUGAAGAAAACUUCUCAUUUCACAAAAAGCUUUUGGAUUUCAAAUAAACUUCUUGUCAAGUGUUGGCAAGAAAGAGAUUUCUCAAAAUGAUAAACUCUCCCUGCUACACCAAAAUACUUUCCCCAGUGCAUAGUCAAUGGAUACUUAACUUAUGUAAAAUGAACCAACUUGAUCAGGAGCAAUUCAACAAGGCUUUGGAGCAGUCUGUUAACUGACAGCUAGCUGGCACAGUAAGGAUGAGAAAGGAAAAGCAUAUAUUUUGUGUGUUGAUAAAAUCAGGCAAAAACACCUGAACACCACUUUUUUGCACUUCUUGCACGAGCUCUCUGACUACUGAGCUGCUGGCCACAAUGGCUCAGGCAAAGGCCUCAGUUUCAUCUGUGUAAGAAUCAGUGUUUUACCACCAACAAAAUGGCUUUGGCCUUGAAAUUCAGUGCCUUACAAUGCCCCCCCCACCACCCCCCCGCAUUUAGCACAAAAUUACCUGAUAACCUGACUUGUGUUUUUUGAAAUUAAUCUUUAAAAUGUUGAGAUGGCACCAAAAAAGGGAAAUAGAGAAAUUUGAAAUUGUCUUGAAAAUCGUGUGUCUUCCCGAUUUUACUUGCAUACAAUUAAUGAGCUGAAGGUCAGCUGCAGUCUUGCAGUUAUUCGGUCUGGAUUGCUGUGUGUCACAAGCCUUUUCAGAAGAACCUGACAAAUCUCUCUCGUUAAUAACAAAUGACAAUCUCUUCGGUGCUACAAUGCAUGUUACAUUUAAUCAAUUUGCUAUUUGUAUUCACUGUGUACAUCUACUGUUUUGGGUCAUGAAAAAUUGAAAAGUAAUUACAACAUGGAAGAGCAUCAUGGAUAACGAAUGAGAUAAGACUAGAAAAUGUUCUAUUAAUUGGUCAGUUGUGCUUGUCAGUACAUUGAAAGUAGUUAAGACGGGGAAUGAGAUAAGACAAUUCUAUGCCUCUGAGGUGAAACAGAGCUUAAGGAUAACCACUGCUAUGAUACUUUUGUUAUGAUAAAAAUUCAAUCAUCUAAGCACUGUGGUGAUACAAGGAGCUUUAGAAAGCUGUUUAACUACAGCUAUUACUUGAAGAAAUCAAAGUAACUUCCCUGAUUGAAUUGUACUAUAGUAAUGCCUGGUAGUGCAGCAACACUAUAAAUAAAGUCUGUCAGCAUCUCCAUCAAUGCCCCCACUGCCAAGGGCUGCUAACUCAUCUCUUUUACAUUUCAACAACCUCAAAGAGGGCAAACAAAUUAAUGACUCAGAUGUCUAUUUCUGUACUAAAAAGGGAUGAAACAAGUUAAACUGGUUUCAAUCAAUAGAAUAUCAAAGCGCUGACAAAUUUUUAGGAUUUCAGUUGCAUUUUCUUGUAAUUCAGAGGUAAAUGUAAGUAUUAACUUCAAAAAUGGAAGUAGACAAAACUCUUGUCUCUCCAAGAGAGACUUGCAUUUGUUGGACCAAACACUACCUGCAUUUGAUGAACAGAUGCCAAGUACUUCUAACCUAUUAGUUUAUAAGCCUUUGAUCAAACCUAUGAGUCUACGUUUCCUACAGACAUGCAAAGCAGAAUUUCCAUGUUACAGUAUUGUAGCUUUCUUAAGCUGUGUAAGAACAAGGGCUACAAGGGCUGUAUCAGUAGCAGAGGCAGUACUACUAUCUUUACCCUCUUUGUUUUUUUCCCCAUAUUAGCAACAUGUUUAUAUGCAAUAACAGGCACUCUGCCCACUAACCCAGACCAGCCAAAACUGGGCUGAUCACAGCCACUAUUUUGUGUCUGUACAGUUGAGCUUCCUAAAAAUAAAUGUCAAAAUAUACAUCUGGAAUUAAAAUAAACGUGCAAGUUCUUAACUACUUCCUAUGCUUCAGAAUUAGAAUUUGCCUGUAUAAUUAUGCUUCAGAGAGGCCAGUGGUCAGAGGUUCCUGCUAUGCAGAGUCACAACUGUAGACUUCAGACUGUUUCUGCUGAAAAGGGUAGCUUUAAGGUUGAAUCAGAACAGAAAGCAGAGUAAAGAAGUAAGAAUAGAAAAAGCCAUAGCUGACAAUCACAUUAUUGAGAAAGAGAACCACGGUGACAAGGGAGGGCAAAAGUGCUGAAGAAGGUGAUGACUGCAUUGCUCUGACAUCUGGAAAGUAGAGUUUGGUCAUAAAAACUUCUCAGCAUUAGCAAUUAGAGUAGCUUUUCUUUGACAUUGCCCCUGAAGUUUAGAAGGAAUAUCAUUGAUUUCAUAAUGAAAGCUAUUCAUUUUGCAAAGGUUUGUUGUAAAGUGUCAUGAGGAAAGGCAUCCUCAAGGCAUUAAGAAAUCUAGUGAAAAAGCUGCAGAAAGGUGUAAAGAAUUCUAAAUCACUGCAUUGUCUAUAUAUUAAUGUAAAUAGGUGCUAAAUGCCUUGGCUGAUUAAUGCUCCCUUCCUCAUAAGGAAGGAGAAUUACUAAAACAAUAUUAAAAGAAAUACAGGAGUGAAUAAAACCAGUGCUAGCAGCAUAAUGAUUACAUAGGAAACAAGAUGCAGUAAAGCUAAUGUCCUUUCUCAGAUAGGAUUUGGUCUAGAAAUUGGCAGCUAAAGCUAUUCAAGUAGGCAAGACAAAGCUUUCAUUACCUUCACAUAAAACAUUUUUUAUCACUCAAGUAAGUAUCUUGCCAGCUGUGUGUGUGUGUGACACUAUGUAGUCUAUUACCAUCAGCAAUGAGGUGUGAAAAUUCUUCACGAAACCAUUCUAGAAAAAAGCUUCAGGUUAUCAGGGCACUUCUUAAGGAGCUUGUUCAAAAGCAUUAGAACUGUUUAAUUUUCACCAUCCUGUAGGCAACAAAAAUGUUGGGGUUUUGUGAAAUGGUAGAAGUAUGAGGUUUUUGAAGAAGACACUGCAUGUGCACGUCUACUCUAACACUCUCUUUGAAGAAGAGCAAGGAUACAGGCUCCAGACAGUUCAUUGGUGUAAACAAACCAGUAAAGGCAAAGCUAAAAAAAAAAAGAGAUACGUGGAAUAGGAUUUUCUAGACAGGUGUGAACUUCUAGGACAUGUCCCCAUCAGCCUCAGUGUGAUAAAACAUGCUGGUUCCCAGUACUUUGUAGUGUUUGCUUGGCCACAAAGAUUUUGAUUCCUGCUGUGCAUGUCAGCACAGUGCUGCACCUGUGCUGGUGGCUCUCUGCAGGCACAGCACUCUCCCUGUGUUGCAGGGUUGGGGUUGAAGUAGGGGUAUUUUAUCUACUAAUGCAUAACAUAUUUAUAUUAUUACAAGUAUUAGGAGAUACAAUUAUGCAACCUACAACUGUGCUUUGCUAGAUUUAUUAAUGUAUUGUAGAUCUUGUGGUUACUUGGAGAGAAAUGUUUGCAUCAAGCAAUCUGAGUAGUGGUAUGUACUCAACUUUUAUUGACUCACAGAUGGUUGGAAGUAAUUAUAUGAUUUCUCAAUAAGCAUCAGAAUUUGGCCAUAAAGUUCAAUUAUUUUGACAUGAGAGAUCAAUAACAGGAAUCUGAAGCAAUUAAAGACACAUAAUUCAGAAGCUGCUCGGCUAAAAACAGUCAUGUGGUGAAUCUGUUCCUGACUUCAGCUACAAUGUGAAUGUAAGUUCAGUCAGUGGUGCUGUUCUUCAUACCAAAGCAGAUAUAGUCAAUGGUUUAGGCUGUUAACAUAAGAUCUUAUUAUUAUGCACUUCUCAAGCACAUCCCACAUCAUGGGCUGCAUCCUAUACUGCACACAUUCUUUACCUCUGUAACUUUGAAUAUAAUAUUAAAAUCUGCCAUCAUUCAUAUCUGUGAAAAGCACAGAGAUAAGAGUACACAUUCACUACUUUGUUUUAAACCAGCAUCAAAACACAAUCUCUUGCAUUAAAUAUUGAUCAAACUUUGGGCUUAAUGAGUUUCUUCACUGAACAAACCAAAUGCUAUACUGGGAUGCCCACUGCCAGGGCACAUCCCGAGUCUUACUACCACUUUUACCCUCUUCAUUCAAUUUUUUUUUUUUUGCCUUUGCUUAAAUUAGCAAGGUAUUUGUGCACAUCAGGCUCUCUGUCCACUGACCCAGAUGGCCAAAAUGUCUCUUCUGCAAUCAUCAAUCCAUAGGUGAGCCACUGAUGGCCUCCCUCCAUUCCUCACCAGCCCAUACCACUUUAUAACCACUGCUGGCAUGGAACACUCUGACAAAGUGUUGCAUCUGCCUUUGGCUCCCUUUGGCAGCAGGUUCUGCAAGUUACAACUGAGUGGUACUAAGACAUUACCCCAUGCUUCCCAGCUCCACACCAAGAUGCCUCCUGCCCAAAGCAAUGCUGGUAAUACCUAAAGACCUUAAUAAUGCAAAAGUACGGUAUCCCUUUAAGUGCUUAUUUCAUUCCCAGUGUCUUCUCCCAGUUCCUUUGCUGUAAUAAGCAGACAGCUGGCACCAAACACCAGUGUUUUUUUCCUGGGUAUGCUAAUGAUCUAACAUAAAAGAUAAUGUUAGUCACAGUUAGGUACAGAUGUGACUUCGGCACUUUCCCUCCUUUUCCAUUUCCUUCUGCUGCCUUUGAAGGAAGACUGCAGCCAGUAAAAAUUAGCAGUGAAGUAUUGCUGCUCUCUAUUUUGUUUCAAUUACAAAUGCUACUGCAUCUGGACAGAUGUUGACUGCCAUUUCAUCUGAAUGGGCCUAAACAAGUAGAACGGUUAGGAAUUUGAGGCAUUUCCACUUUUUCAUUGGAGUUAUUACAUUCCAAGUAUGUGGAGGACAGUUCUACAGCACAACAAUUUACCCUACAAUACAAAAAAAUAGUAAAAUUGCAUGUAAUGUGUGCUCCAGUAUAGGAUACUAAGGGUCUCAGUCAAGGCUGUCCUGUAAUCUAUAUCAAACAAUAUGUCUAAAAGUUUGACUGAGCAAAUAGUAAAGCUAUGUUAAUAAUGCAUUGUUUUGUUUUGUUUUUUCAAAAGACUUAUUUGAUUCAAAAAUAAUAAAAAACACAACUAAGAAAAACAGAACAAACAAACAAACAAAAAAGCAACACAAAUCAACAACAAAAAACACCAAAGCCCCAAAUCUAAGAAGGGUCUCCUUCAGUAGGUUCAGUAGUUUGGAUGGUUUUAAUCAUAGAGAUGAGCAUAUACUGAGUCCUAGUGCAGCCAGUUAAGAACAAUUUGGUCUCCCUCUAGAGAUGGCCGGUAAACACAGCCAAUGCAUGCAAAAAGACAACAUUUCCCUUUUUCUUUACUUUCUAUCCUAAUUUAGCUGUCAAAAAUUCAUUAUUUUAAAUAUUUCAACCAACCAUAGAAUGGGUUGGAAACAGGAAAAAAUGAAUUGCAGAUUUUGAUUAUAUUUUCACUCCACCAGUAGUCAAGACUUUCACAUUGUAUCUUCAAAUGCAUAAUUUUCGCCAGCUUUGCUCACCAAAGAAUUGUGGAAAGCAGGACAGACUCAUGCCACUGACAAGUUUUAAAGAGCAUCCUUCAAGUUCCUAGAAAUCAGAGCUCUUUGAAAAAAACAACCAUGAAGAUUUAGUGUAGACAAACACUUGAGAAGCACAGACCAUAAGACAAAUUGCAUCACAUUUCUUUAAAGCAUAACAUCUGAUAAUGUUUUAUAUCUUAAGAUCUAUGAACGAACUUGCUGAUUAUACACAGCUACUGCCAUUUGUUUCUUUGUAGCACUUCUGUAAGCGAGCGUGCUUGGAAUCUCCAGGUCUAUUAAAGGUAAAAUCUCAAGCUGCCAGCAAGUUCUUCAGAGGAAUCUCCUGGCCUUGGCAUUAUCUGUGGGCUUUGUCCAGGGACACAGCAUUUAUUUCUUAAAACUGGAGCAACCAGCAUAGUGCAGCAGCCAAGCCAGGUCACGCUGCCCAGAUUCUUCCCGGCUGUUCUGCUGACCAGUUCUGUGCCAAGCUCAUCUGCUACCCACACAAGCCUUUCCAAAAACAAGUUCCCUUCUGGCUCUUCUCCAAAGAACCACUGACUCCUGGGCUUCCCCUGACCACUGGUAUACAAACAAGGUAGCAAGAGCAAGAUUCACCCUACCUAUCUUAAAGUGAGCAAUAACAACUGCUAGUUAUAUAUUAUUGUUAUUGUUAUAUAACAAUAACUAGUAUGCAAGUUUAGCAGUAGCCUGUGUUACCUGCCGUGGUUUUUGCUUUUUAUUAUUAUUCACGUCCCUUACUGUUUUCCCUUCCCUUAUUGUUUUUGGUUAAUUUGUAAAAUUCAAGGUGAUGUUAUUUUAUUUUUUACCUUCUCUGGUUCUGUGGAAGAAGUCUGUGCCAUUCUGGUUGUGUGAGCACUGACAAGUACAUCCCUGAGAGACAACUACUUAAUUAGUCACAGGGAGGCUUAAGUCUCAAUCCUAAAUAAGGAGAUAACAUCAUGGUGGCAAAACCUGUCACCUUUGCCCAAGCAGCCUGGAGGGAGAAAGACCGUUACUGCACAGUCCAAUCUACUUACAUGAUAGAAAAGGAUACUGGGAUGGAAAAUGUAAUAAUUUAAAAACAUUCAAAGAGAAAUAGUCUACAUUUGCACGGGCUACACUCUCUUCCCAGUGCAACAAAUGAACCAGAGUAUCAGCAACUAAGUGAUGGGCAGUUAUUUAAUGAGUUAAUCUCAUUAGGAUAUUUGAACUCUCAGAAGAGGCUCAAACCAUUAGCUACACGAGAGCUUUGAAAUAAGCCUUUCAAAAGGACUGUAAGAAUAUAUUAAAAAGUGGUUAAUACACUGUGAACUUUACCAGGAUUCCCCUUGGAUCAGGCUGUCUGGCAGGAGGUUUUUACUGGGGAGCUUCUCCACAAGUCCUGCAGACACAGUCACUAAUAGGCUCAAGUUUACCCUAGAGCCCAUCAAGUAACAUCACCAACAAUUUGGAUUCCAGCAGUUUCUAAGGUUGGCCUCAAUAUGUUACACAAUUGCACCUUGCUUCCCAAUUUUUAAAUCCUUUAGCUUUAAAUCUGGAUAGUUAAAACUGGACUAGUCAUCACAUUACAUAUCUGACUAAAAGACCUGUGAUAAUACUUUUAAAUACAAGUUAUUUAGCCUCACAUUCUCUACAGUGGCUGUAUUAUUCCCUCUAACCUUUUCCUUUCUUUACCUUGAAUUUGGGCACAAUCUAUGUUUAUGUUAGUGUAUAAUUAACUAAGUUAAAAACAGCAGAGUCCCAUUUCAAACAACAUUACAUUGUCACACCAUGUCAAACAAUUGCACCUCUUGAAUUUAGAUUGUAUAACUAUUUUCUGCUCUCUGUUUACUUUUAUUAGCUCCGGUGGAAUUAUUCAUAUCAAUAAAGUGAACAGCAUUUGACCCUCUAAAAGUAAAUGAAAGACAUUAAUAGAAGAACCCAGAGAAUAUCUUCCAGCAAUAAUUAAAACUCAGGGCAGAAUAAUUUUUUCAGUCAUCAUAAAUCAUAAUGAAAAGUGGAUACCUAAUGUCUGAUUGUUCAGAUCUGCUCCAUGAAAGCAGUCAGGAAAUGUCCAGCUCUUUUAAUUGCUAAUAAUUACUUCGUAGUUUAAGAAGCAGUGAUAUAAAAGAUCCUUAUUGUUUAGAGUAUUACAAAAUUUAACUGUAACUAAUGCAUUUUCAAGAGUUUGGGGAACAUUAUUAAAGUUCAUUUCCAUGCUGCAGCUGCAGGAGUUAGAAUUAUGAAAGUGAAGAAGCUGUAAAAUUGAAAAGGUCAGCAAUGACAUUCAUCUAUUCCAGCUGUCAAAUCAAGGGAAUGUUAACAAAACUAGUCUCUGGUAGAAAAGCUAAUUGUCUACAUGUAUUUUGGCUGCUCCUAUACAUGUACUCUACUGUGGCUAAUCUAUAGAAAGACCAUGCUGGAACAGCUCAUCUUUUUUUGAUCAGGCCUUCUGCAAACAAAGGAGCCUCAUUGCCCCAAAUAAGCAAGUUCUAAUGAUUGUAUAACUCCAACCAGCCUAAAAAGCAGCCGUAUGUUCCAAGUCAGUGUUUAAAGAAAAAAGCAUGUGAAUGAAGUUUAUAGACUCCUGGCAGCAGAGUUCAACUUCCAGAGUGGUGGGAGUACAGGGCAAAUUUAGUAUUUUACUCUAAUGUUGUGUUCUUAAAAAUAGUAUUUCUAAAACGUCUCCUGCCAAGGCAUGUUUUAUUAUAACAAAAUAUAGAAAAGUCUCUAUUGCAGACCAAAUCUUUUGUAGAUGACCUGGAUUUAGUAAUCCCUCAGUGUGAAGGACCUUCUCUUCAACAUUCUAUUCCCCGCAGGGUGAGACUGCAAACCUAACACAGCUAAACACAGACCAUCAGUGAAGACUGAGUCUAGGAACUUUGCUAUUGAAUGACAGACCCCUGCCUUGUGCAGGAGGACCCUCAGCAAGGAACAGUGAGAGACUUAUGUUUUUUAUUAUGCACCAAAUUCCACCUUCUUCAGACCAUGACACUCCUCAGCAAUUGAGAGCAAAGAAAAGUGACUCCAGACCUGUAGCACGCCACACAUUCAAGGGAAUCAAGUGCUUAAUCUUCUCUAGACAAAUUCAUUGCAAGCCCCUCGGGCUAUUUGCUAUUGUUUGUUUUUGUAUUUUCACCUUAUGUGUUUGUAGAUGUUCUCAGAGGUCUACACACACAACUCUACCAACCACAAGUAGCUGACUGUCAGUGUGAAAGCCGUAUUCCUAUAUUGCACCAUAUACAUCAACUCACGCCUCAAUUUAUCUGGUGUUAUGCAAUACAGAUGUGACAGAAACAAUCCAAUUUGACCUAUGACAACAUAUUAUUAGGUCAGUAUGUAGCUUUCUGGAUAACUUUUUAAAAAUCUGUUAUCUGACCUUUGUGGUUUUUUUUUUUUUCCUAUAGAGAAGUAUUGCAAAAGCCAGAAACAAUACCGACAAUUCAUGAAAUAUUCAAGUGUACAGUUGCAAUCUUUUAAUAAAUGGAAGUGACCUUCAAAAGAGACAUCCCAAAGAUUAAGAGAAUUUCUCCAUAGAUGGCAUUUGUCACUAAUCAAUGACCGAAAGAACUUACACUCUUCAUAGAAGUGAAUACAAAAAAGAUCUUUCAGAAUUCUAUCACUUUAAAGUAAAUUUUUCACAAAGCCCACAGAAAAGAGCAUUAACAAGCUAACAAAACAACAGAACAAAACAUCAAACAGGCAAAUUGAAAGGAUACAUCCCCCUGCACCUAUUGGUAACUAUGUCCACAUUUAGAGAGCUAGAGUCAUUUGCACAUCCACACACUAUUCUCUGAGGCUAGAUGAUACUAUCAGAAUUAACUGCAUUUCUUCAACUGCAUUGAUAUGUCAAAAUACAUGCAACAUUCUACUAGCCAGUUUUCUUUUUCAUAUUCACAAAGAUAUUGGGCUCUAACUGGGUCACGGUAUUGGAACAGAUGUAAUCUCAGCAGAAUACUGUGAGAAAUCUGGGCUACAUUAAUGACUGAUCCAAUUACAGUGGAAAUCUCUAGAAAACCCAGAUUUACUAAGAACCAGGAGAUAAUUAUGAUGUACUUCUAGGGACGACCAGAUGGACCAGACAGUCUCAAACUCUAUAAGGAGACCAGAGCUGAAUGAGAGGCACCCGUGCUGUUGCCUACAUAGUUGGAGAUAUUCCCAUUCUGAGAAUAUGAUCAAAACAGACAGAUUCUUUCAGCAAACACCUGUGAGGACUGGAUCAAAACACAUCCUAUACUGGGAAGCAGCAUGGCUUAUGUCCUGCUGUGAUGAUGGGGUGACAGAGGAAUAGGUAUCCAGGAGAGAAUGAAAGAGCAGGAAUCAAGAAACCUCAGGCAGCAAGUUAUGUUCUCUCUCCUGAAUAGGCUAUAGAUGCCACCUUCCAAGGAGCAAUCUGAUACCACACCUAAGAAAACCCAACAAUCUACUGUGGAUUUACACCCAGAAGGAAAGAAAAAUACUUGAGAAAUCUGAGUAUAAACACCUCCUUUCACCAAUCCAAAGGCAGGCAAAAUUUCAUAGUAACCUUAUCUGUGAUCUUGAUAACAUCUUUCAGAGAGGUGUGCCUCUCUUACCUCUGAGUAGUCCCAUUAAGGUAAUUUGGAUCUAAGAGGAUGUAUGAUGUUAAACAUUUAGUUAAUUAUAAAUGUUGCUGAAUCAAGAUUUUUUUUCAGAUAAAUAUUUUACCAGAGAAGAUAUAUUAAACAGUGGAAAGUAAUAUUUCUUAUUUAUAGAACCUGCUGCCAGCUCCAAGCUAGUAAAUAUUUACAUUUCAGGCACUUUGAUGGCUAAUGUGACCUUUCUGUUGCACACUUUACACCUGUGCUGUAUUUUACUUUCAGUGUUAACAUCCUUUCUAGUCCAUCUUCCAUUAACAAGCAGUAUUUAAAUAUAUGCAAAUUUCAUAUUUUAGCUGAUGUUUUAGGAACAUUUUUAAGGUCACUCUGUUUGAUCUAUCAUACAGACACAGCAAAUUUAUGCACCAUAUAUCCUAUCUCUACUUGUUUUUACCUACAUCUGUCUUCUCUGAUUGCAUUUGAAUGGGCUUAUUUUCUACUUUAAAUAAAAGAUUUAUGCCUUAGCUGUCAGUUUGCCUUUAUUUGAAAAUUUAAUUUUGUUUCUAGGAGUCUAGAUUAACUUAUUAGAUUUAACUGUCCCUUGUGCUUUGCAGCGAUAGCAGAAGUAUAUUUUCCCUUGCGGAGAGAAUACAUAAACAAAAUGCUCUUAGCUUAAGAAUAAAGAAUGUUAUUACUUAGACCAAUACAACACAGUUGGUCCAGGAAACAAAAACUGAUGUUGUGAUAUUUUUUUAAUUUAUGAUGGCCAGCAGUGAGAACUGACUCAUAAAUAUGAGCUCUCACAAAUCCUGGAGCCACCAAAACUUGGAAAAUGCUUUGCGGAAAAGGUACAUUCCCCCAAAAUGUCCCCAACGCUUGGGAUAUAGAAUACCCUUUCAUGAAGCAGUACCACUGGGAAACACAACUUCAUUCUUGAUACUCAUGGAUUUAUUUAAGUGAGCAACAAAUGAGAAUCUGCCCCACUGCUUCCAGUUAGUCAGAAGCCCAUUUGUUGAUUCAGUGUGCUAUUCCACAUCUUCAGUGAGACGUGUUCUUUACUGUCUCUCAGUAGAGCUACAUUCAUAAUACUGUUCAUCAAGCCCUGGAAUUUCAGGGCUUGCCUGAAAGGAGAACAGGCUCACUGCAGUUGCUGCAUGUGGUCCUUGCAAAGCCCAAAACGGCUGUGUUCUCUGGUGGGUGGGCUGGGGUGUCUGUGGGAGGUUAAUCUUUUCAACUACGUUCAUCCAUUUUGACCUUCUUCUCUAUUUUUCAUUUCUAGAAGUACCUGGGAUUCUCAGCAACUCUGUGAUUUUUCUCUUUAUUUUGCAACAUCCACAUAGACCUGAACAGAAUCUGUUUUUAAUCAAUCCCUACACUUUUUAUAAACUCUAAAAACCUACAGCUCUUGAUUCUGUACUCUCAAUUAUAUGCACUGCUUUUGAAAGGAAUUGAAGUGUUCCCUCAUCAAUAAUGUUCCUAGAAGCGCCAGGAGAUUGCAGUAUAAGAAUAUCAGGGCAGAGAAAGUAGAAAAUUGAAGGAUCAGUAUUUACUUAUCUACUCUAGCAAGCAGUCAGUCACACAGCUGUUAACUGUAUCCUGACUCACUUUGUUAAAUAGUGAACACCAUGAGCACAAGACUUUUGUGGAGAAGCAGGGAUUCAUCAUACAAAGAAAACAAAUAUACAUUUAUGGUGGCUUUCAUCACUCACAAAAUAUCAGCAGAGAUAAAUGGCACAUAGGAACAUGAGGCCCUCUAUUCCGCCAGCCAGAGCAAUACAGCUGUUAUAUAAGAUGAUAAGCAGUGAUGAAGAAUAACAUGACCAGCAGUAAAAUAAUAAUAAUAAUAAUAAUAAUAAUAAUAAUAAAGGCAUUAAGGCAGGCAGAACAGGACAGAACUUAUCUGACUUGAUAGCCUUCAGUCUGUGACACUGUAUUUAUAAAGUGCCAACAGAUUCAAGAAAGGACAGUAAUUAGUAAGUCCUGGCAUCUUCCUAAUAAAAAAAGCAGUGAAAAUACCACAAAGCACAAUCUCUGCAUGUACAGUACUAUUAAUACAAAGUGAAGUCUUCACAGAGUUCUUCAAAAAUCUCUUCAGCUCAGAAAUGCUCUUUCAGGAACGAUCAUAAAUAUGGCCCACCUACCAUAUACCCAGGUAAAGAAUGCAGAUGAAGCUGGUGUGGUUUGAACAUGCUGGUGGAGGCACUGGGCAGGUAACCAUCUGGCAGGGAAGGCUUAUGCUCAUCUGCUCUCUUGGUAGUGAGUUUCCUUGCUGCUGAAGGGCAGAAGUAAAUCUAUUCCAGUCAUUCCCUUCUGUUGUGAUAGCAAAAAACUUAUCAAGGAUGUGUUAUGCUAAAUCCUAUGACAACAAGCAUUUCAAAGCAUCAGACAAGACAGAUAAUAAAAGGGUAAAACCUGCAAGGAAAUAAACCAUGCACUACACAUGUAAAGAUUUCUUUAUCAUGCUUAGGUAGAAUAAUCUAUUAUUGUGACCAUUACUUAGUUACAGAAUGUACCACCAAAUAACAAACUGAUCGUAUGAACCACUGCAACAACACAGCUGAUUUUUUUCCAGCUUCUCCAAAGACAGUAGUCUGGUUUUGAUUUAACAAGUAAUUAAUGAAUACAUAAACCCUGGACAGAACUUUAAUCUAUCCCAGCGCCAAAUAAUUAAUCAUUCAUUCCACGUUUAAUCCUGUUCUGAUAAAUGUAAUUAAUAUUUCAUCAUGGCACUGCAGAGUAGAAGAGUACUUGGGAGCAGAGAAAGGCACCCUUCUAUCUCUCCCCUCAUUGCAGCUCUGGAGUGAAAGGCACUGUCUACAGCUGACAGAUAGGUAAUCCAGAAUACAGCGACCCCUUGCAGUUGUACAUUAGGUUUUAUGCAUGGCAUACACUCUGAUUGUAAGGAGGCUUUUCUUCCUCUGACCUAUUAUUAAAAUAGCAAAACAAAAUAAAAACCAACAAUGAGAAAUACGUCACCAGAGCAUGGUAAACCAUUUGUCUGAUCUGACAGCAUUUGGGAAACCAGUGCUUGCAGCGAUGUCUUGGUUUAUACAAUGCCACUGAGCAUAUGUUAGGGCUGUGGAGAGAGAACAAAGCAUGUGUAGGUUGUCUGCUUCUGUCCACAGGAAGCAGCGCUAUGUGCACAAAGAAGUGGAUGAAGAUUUAAGUGAUAAUUUUACUGCAGGGAAACUCCAGCAUCUUUUGAAAACUUUCGGUGUAAUCAAGAACUGCGUUGAUAGGUAGAAAAUUAAAUUGCAGGAAAACCUAUGCUGAUUUUACAGGGUGUUUCAUCUCAGGAACCCACAAAUAUCAGCAAAGAGUUUUGUGAAGAAGAUUCUACAACAAACAAAUUGCAUUGGGAUCCUGCUGCCCAAUUACUCAGAAACAGAGGCAUCUCUUCACAGUUAUCUCCUUGCUCAGCACUCUCCUGUAUAGCCACAAAUUGUUUUUGCUGAACAAAUUUUAACUAUACGUACAAUUACAAUUCCCUCUCAUUCAAAUACAGGGGAAGAAAAACCUACUGUAAUUAGUUAUCCCAGUUGCCCUGAUGAAUAUUUACAGUCCUUGCAAGAAACCCAGCUUGUGGUGUACGAGUCUCCCAGCAUCACACACUGACACCGAAAGGAGGCUGUAAUUUAUCCCCUUCCGAAGAUCCCAUAUUAUGCUGCUAUCUCAGCUGUCGUUAAUCUAACCCUCUGUUAUGUCCCAAAUCAGUAAGGAGACAACUUUCAAAUGGUAGGGGAGUGUCUCUGACAUAGUAAGACUAAACAGAGCUACAUGAAAUCAAGUGAUUUUAGUCCAGGGGCCUGCUGGAGCUAUUUUAUAAACAAACUCAUUUUCGCACUUUGUAACUGCUCGUUGUGGUGACUGCUAUCUGUAACUUCUAGACAGCUAUUCUAGAUAAUUAUGCUGGAAAGCAUUUACACAUUUACAGAGAAUUUUGGUUAUGGAUAAUGGUUUUAUCAGCUCAGAUUCAUUUCAAAAUAUGUUGCUUUCCAAAUACUCUAAAAAUGCACCUAACCUCUUGCUACUCAAACAGAAUCUAAAAUUGUUAUGCACCUGAGUCAUUCCCCUUCUCAGAGCACUUCUCAACACUAAAAUAAAUGUAGGUAGCUUUAAGUACCUAGGAAGUACUAGUAUUAUGUUCAUAAGAACCUAAAAUGGUUAGGAGCAUUGGAUCAUUGAGGCAAGGAUCCUGAUUUUAACAUUGACCAGCACCAGAAGCUUCAAAGGAAUAAAUUCCUGCCUGGAAUAUAAUGUAAACAAUGUAAGUUUUUACUUCUUGUGUAUCUGGAUUAAUUCAACAGUUCUUUUGCACCAGUGCCAACUUCACAAAUGAUUGUAUAUGCCACAUUUUUAACUUCUGCUUGCAGCAAUGGAUGAUAUAUACCCUUGUUCCAAAAGUCACACAGCCCUGAUGGCCAGCUGCUGCACUGUCACCUCAUUUCUGAAUCCCACAAGGAAACCUUUUCCAUAUUCAUAAACAGAGCAUUCAUUUCUAAGACCCUGGAAACCUUCACUGAAGCUCCACAUUAUAAUCCAAUUGAUUCUUUAUCUCCUAAGAUCAACAAAUCCUUAACUCAUUGUAGAAAGUGUUGUGCGAUGUUUCAUAUGCAUGCACACACACAUUAUUACAUCGUUCCUAAUAUAUAUGGAUUUUAUUUCCCUUAAGUCAUCCAUUCUACUUGUUCAAAAUGGGAAAGAUUAUUCGUAGACGUGAAUCUAUCGUUCUGUGUUGGAUUUGAUGAGGCUGUAUUACGAAAAACAUCCAUCUGCUUUGUAAGAAAACUGAUGCUGAAUUGAAAGAGUAGCCAUUGACUAAGGUUAUAUCCAUUCAUGCUAAUACGACCUUCAAUUAGUGAAGCAAACACAUUUUGAGAUCCAGUCAUUUUAUCAGACACCCACUAUAGAUAAAGAAAUGCUGGUAUCCUUGAAAAAUUCUACUCGGAGGUGACCUUCCACUUUUCCAGGCUCAUUAGGCAAAACAAAAUAAUUGUGCCGCUUCUUUCUGGUCUCUCUUCAGAAGGUUUUCAGGACAUCUCAAAUUACAAAUAAUGAUUUAACCCACAAAUUCAUGCUAAUACAUAGCAGCUUAGACAGUUAACACACUCAUUUCAUGCAGUUCUCCAGAGACGCUGGUUUACAGUGUUUUCUUUUACUUAGCAGCAGCUAUUGGCAUUUAAAUAGAAACCACUACAAAUCCACUUAGUUCAAAAUUUUUGAAAGAGUAAAUACCAUUGUGGCAUCCUUAAGUCAGCAAAGAAGAAUGCAGUAGUGCCUCUUAUUUUCAUCCACAUUUUCAAGGACUGGUAGUUUUCUCACUGAGGUGUCCAAACAGCAGCAAAGCUCUUCUGAGAGGCAGACUAACAUCAGUGCUUAAGUAGCUGAAUUAUGAGAAUUUUUAUUCAUAUUCAAAAAUAUAGCACCUUUGACAUGCAAAGAAGUAGAGAUACAUAUCAUGCUCCCAUUUGCAAGGUCUAAUAUAUUUAAAGAAGUUUGUGGCUGCUAAAGAAGUAUUUAUCCAAGCCAGAAUGAAAAAUAACAAGAUGAUGAUUUUGAAUUUUCUCUGAUUUUUCUAUGAGCCUUUUCAGCCACAUGCUGUAUGCUACAAGGGAGUUAGAUACAAUGCUUAUUUAUAAACAGUGGUAUCCCUGUUAGGUCACCUAAAGAGAACUGAAUUAGAGAGAGAUGCUUAAGUACCUAAGCACAAAAAAACAAUAUCGAUAAGAAAUAAUAAGGAAGAAAUCAUUCAUCAGAAGGCUGAAUACUGGGAAGUAACCAUCAGGGCUAAGAACAGUACAGACUUCAUGAGACCAAGGAGGAUGUUAAGCCACAGAAAGACUCAGCUCUUAAAGACAAGAGACUGGCUGAACAAAGGAGGGCUUUCCCAGGAAAGGUCAAAGAGCUGGGAGGGCUGGUGGGGGAUGCCAAUGUGUGCAGCUGGUACGUGUUGGCACAGCUUGAUGAAGUCAGCUGAGGUAUAACAGCUGACAUUAAUUAAAGGUUUGGUUGCACAAGCCUAAUAGAUAGAAUGAGAUAACGGACUGAUACAAUUGGAUCAUGAUGGAUUCCCAGUGCAGGAGAAAGAAUCCGAGAUAUGCUAUAUUACAUACAUUAAUACUCUCCCAUUUAGUUUGCUGGCAUACUGUCUUUUUGUUUGCUAACUAAAAAUAAUAAUAAAAAAAACAGUUUGUUAAACAUCCCUUUAGUUUGUGUGUACCCAAAUACGUCCUAGUACCUUGUUUCUUUUGAAAGCUGUCUGCUCAUCUGAAACUAUUUCAGUUAAAUUGCCCUGUAGCACUGUCAUCAUGCAUGCAUUCAUGCUUCUUCAGCACUCUCUCAAGUAGGGGAGCAUGGAGACAUUUGUGGGCCUUCCAGCAUACUGCUACAGCCCUGCUAAGACUCACAGCCAGUGAGAUUCUAAGGACGUAGAGCUUUCUCUCAUGAAUCAUACAAAAAGAGCUCUCUCUAAAUCAAACUUCAAGCUGGUAGAGGGCAGUUAGGCGCUUAAAUCACCAUUUGCUCUGAAGCUUUGAAGAGGUUUUCAUAACUUCGGCAAGCAAAUGUUUGCACUGCUUCCACAAAAUCUCUUUCAGCCAGGGGAUCAGGCUGGACAUUAAAGCCAGGCUCCCAUCCCACGACCGGCUCCUGCUGAAAUUUAGCUCCCUAAAUACUGCUGUGACCACAAGACUGGUGUUUUUCACAUUUCUGAGUGGAAGUUCUUGACAUUUACCAUUUCCCUUUCCCUCAACUACACGAACUGCAGCAGCGGAGAGCAGGACUCUGCGGGAGCGUUCUGUACAUCCUCCCUGUGCCCCGUUGCCAGAGCGCAGCCCGCGUCGCUGCUGCAGCACCAGCCCCACCUGCUGCCCCGCGCCGGCAGCUGCAGCCGGAGCCAAGGCCGGCCGCACAGAGCGAGCCGGCAGCGCGCUCCGCGAAGCUCCUGCUGCUGUUGUGGGUUAGCGGUAUUUACGUGACCUUUUCCCGGACGGCAGUCUAGAAACUCGACUUUCUCUACGUUAGUGGAAAGGAAUAAAAGCAAUGAAGGAAAAAGGCUCCAAAAUGAGUGUGGGUAAGUGCAGUCAUUAAGGUGAACGCUUGAGUGGGAGGCCGUCGAGCAGCCCCAAUGCACCUCUGCUGAGUUUCUCGGAGAGAAGGCAGACAUAGUGGAGCAGGACAGCACAUUCACAGGAGUGCGGCUGCAUUUCCUAGAACGCUGUUUUGAAUUGCACCUUUGGAGCAAAGGAAUAUCUCAUUUUCCCGAGACCAUCUUCUGUUGAGCUGCCAACAAAAAGUUUAUGUGCAACCCAUUAAAAUACGUAUAUACACUGCUGACUUCAUGCCCAUGCACACUUUGCUCACAACUUGCAGGAAUGUGUGUCAGCUCUUCUUAAAAGGGAUUUUCUUUCUCUCACAGCUGUUCUGACAGAAGACCUUCUGAUGUCCCCCAGACCACAGCCUGAGAAGCAGCCUGGCAGCCAGGCUAUAGGGAUCCCUCGUUUAUCAGUUAUUUGAUUCAUUCCAUUCAGGCUGAUACAUCUUCCUGGCUUCGUUGCUGUUUGAUUUAACUUCUGUUUCUAGCAUCUGUAGUGGAUUCUUUUAUGUACAACCACCUAAAACCAUGUCUUGUACACAGGUAGCAAAAGCAGUGAUUUGAUAGCGUGGUGUGCAUUUUGGCAAUGUACUUUAUCAAAGAUGUAUUUUGCCUGCAGCAAAACGAGCUGUCAGCUGUUACAAUGAACUGUCACAUAUUCACAUUUUAAUAUGAAAAAUAAUUAUUCCUCCGUUUCUAUUAAACAGCUACCUAUUCUUCAGGCUGGAAAUCAGAACUGCUUUCACAGAGUAUCCAGCUCGCUACUGAAAAGAUUAAAUGGGUCGAGUGUAACACUGUAAAUAUGAUCAAGGCAAAAAGCCAGUCAAUAAAACUGACGGUUUUAUCCUAAUAAAGCAGGGAGGCCUCUGCCAUUUCUCUGUGGCAGAUAGUUAAUUGUCCAGCUGUACGCAACAACUUCAGGACAUCUGGCCACUUAACCAAAGAGUACAAGGUUUGGAAUGCCAAAGGACCCAUAAGUGAAAUAAUGAGUGGUCUGACUCAUUUAUAGUGAAGUCCCUGCACACGGCUCUGACAUCAGUGGUCAAAGCUAAAUUAACGUGACUGCAAGUACUGCUCUUACUUCAUCCCCAACACCUGCCUUAAGAUACAGCUGGGUGCACCAAGAGCAGCAGUGGUCCCAGCUGGGACACAGACACAACAGUCUCAGCCGAGAUAGGGUGGCUGCCUACUGCUCUGCUCUGCAACAAGGUUGUGGCUUACCUGUAUCCUAAUUUAGGAUGAAGAAUGAGUUUGAAAAGUAUGACAAACAUACAGUGCAGUCAACACUUGGUACUGCCUCUGCGUAAAAUUAUGAUUCUUUGCUUCAGUCACUCUAAAAGCAGCUUCAGCCCAGGCUGAAACAUCAAUGGAGUUAUACAACUAACCCAGCCAUCUCCUCCCCCUGCAAGCCCUUCCGUGAGACCACAGGUAAUACUGCACACACAGAGAUCACCUUGCUUUAUCAUACACAUGAAACUAACUUUUGUUGUUAUAUUCAGGGCUUAAAAAUAGACUUGAUGUAUGGAUUUUCUGUUUUAUAGGCAGAGCAAAGAUUCAAUAUAUUGAUUUGAGCUGUAAGGCUUACUUCAUUCAGGGUGCAAUCAAAGCAUGUGGAUUUCUACAACUUCGGGUGCACAGUUUUGGUCAGACUGCAGGUGCAGAAGUUGUUAGGCAAGCCUGCAGGAGCAUGUUAGUGGGCAACGCUGACAUGUCUGCAUGCUUUCAUUCCUAAAAUGAUCCCAUGUCUUGUGCUUUUAGUGAAUUCAUUUCCUCCAGGAUAGCUCUAGAGAGCAGUUAAGAGACACCUUCCAAUAAGGUAACUUCCCUCACUGCCAUUUUAUCAAGACUUAACAUCACUCCUUUCCAUGUGGUGAGUUUAAUGCAGGUAUCUUUGUUAUCUCACAAGAAAGGCAGUGAUGAACUUGGAAGGCCAGAAGCUUUGGUGAUUCUCCUCCCCUGCCUGUACUCUCAGGAUCAAUUAUAAGGAGGCUAGGCUACUGCAUAUGCAAUUUACUGGAGAAGUGAUAGGAAGUUUUACCAGCUUACCUGUUUCAUUCUACUAGCAAGUUAUCACACAGCAGCCCCCAGGCACCCCCAGACUACAGAGGGCUUCCUAAAUACAGGAAUGAAGCAUUAACCCAUCACACAGAGAAGGAAAAUAAGAUAAGGACACUGCAAGCCAGGGGUAAAAACAGGACAAGACACCAAAUAUCCCUCUUCUCAAGGUGAAUUUCUCCUCUACUGAAAUGGACGACUGUCCAUCACCCACCAUUUUGCUUAUGCUUGUUCAGUUGCAAAGAAAUCUAUCUGAUGAAGUGAAACACCACCUCCAAGAAAUGAGGUAGCCGUUAAGUGAGAAUACUAGAUUCACACAAGCUUCGUGGCAGAUGCCUUAGGACUGAUCUGUUCAACCUGGAAUGGAAAACGAUUUGCUUUUUUUUCCUUCCCACAGGGCAUAAGUCUUCCCUGUCUCUCUGUUGUGCUAGUGAAAGCAAAUUUCACCAGAAACUGAAUCCAUUUACAAAUAUUUUGAUAGAUUGAGACAGCUGCUCAGGAAAAAAGAAAGAUUAAACACAUGCAGUUAAGAUACAGUGUCACACGAACAGCUGUUGCAGAGACCCACAGCCUAUGUGGACUUCAUUUUAUUUAUGUCUUUUAAAGAUCAUGUGGGUUUCCCUGUAAAAUAGAAAUAAAGUGAGCACUAUUUCUGUUGGUAAUAAAUUAAAGAAAAAUCUCAGAUAAUUUAUCCUCCAAAAUGCACAGUCUUGACUGUUUUUACUUGUUUUGGCAGGAAGACAGACAUGCAAAAUGUACAAGCACUGCUCUUGUAUACACUCACGUCUCAUUCUAUAGAUCUGGUUGGCAACUCCUUCUGAGGCUCUCAGUUUCUGACUGGAACAGGUCAUUAUGUGUGCACCUCAAUCCAUCACUUCCGAAGCAUCCUGUGAAGAAAUUGCCAUUAGAAACCAGUGUAGCGAAACCAACUACCUUCUAUCUAAAAGCAUGACUUGCAUUUUUGUAUCACAUCUCAUUCUUUUUAUUCCUAACAUUACCUAUCUAUCUGUAUAGUUACUUUCUGUAGCAGCAGAGAUCAUGCUGUAUCUAUUUUUACUGCACCAAUUACUGCUAUUUUAAGACUGUAUAGAAAUGUCUACAAAUAAAGAUUAGCUGAAAGUUCCCAAUGCUUUCCCAUUGCAACUGUCAUUUGAACCUUAUUAUAAAAGCCCGUACCUAUAGCAGUUAUAAUUGAUUGUUUUAAAUUCUGGACACCUGAACAGUGCAGUACUCAUGUUUCAAAUACCAGGAUCAGUCUACAAACAAAGGGCAACAGAUUUCAGAUGCAGCUGUUGCACUGAGUGACACAAACGGACAAAUUGCUUCUCCAUAAAUGCUACCAUUUACUAUACCUCUCUUGUCCAGGCUCCAUACUGAGUAAUCGCUAUCAGCACAAAACUGUGAUGCUUUACUGCAUAUACACAUUACAUUUUCUUACCUUUACAGAACUAGAGGUACAUAUUUUGACACAUAAAUGCACAUGCUUAAUCCAUCACUGGAAAAGAAAAUGUAAGUGAAGGAAAAUAACUCUCUCUACGUAUGUAUGUAUCACUGAGAGUUCAAACAAUCUUCUUUUCAGGUGAUAAGACCACAAUGCACAGGGAAAAACAAGCUAGUUCAAUAGGAUCAGAACUUAAACAGAAAAUGCAGGGUGCUCAGAUUACAGCAGUGAAGUAGCUGUGCAUGGUCAGAGCUGCAUUUCACGUGAGCUACCCUCUGUGACACUCAUCGGGUGAACAGGAAGGCUACCUCAGAGCUCUUCACCUGUUGACACCUGCCUGGUGGCGGCUGGAACAGGGCAGGACAAGGUAGGGUCCUGCAGUGCUGAACAGGCUGCUCGUCUUCAGACAAUCAGUACCGCAGGAUGUCUUUGCUCUUUUGAAUGUAAGAAGUCAUGCAGCACCCAGCAUGAGUCCAUAAAGAAUUUAGGGGUGAAGAAUUUAGGCUAGCUUGAAGGCAAAUCUCACAAGAGUAACAGUGCCAAGAGUUUUUAAAGAGUAAGCUUUUUGCCCCCUGACAAAAAGCUGAUAAUAAAAAUAACCUAUAAAUGCUCUAUUCAAAUGUAUAAGAUGUCUCUUAAUGCCUGUUGUUCUCCAAGAGCUUUUCUUGUCAAAUUCUACUUUGCAGCUAAUGAAAAAAAAUGUCUCCAGUGUUUCAUAAUGACAGGACACAGCUAGUUUAACGCUGCUGAGGAUUAAGGAGGCCUUGAACACAGCAACGUUUGUUGUUUGCCACAUCAGAAAACAAAUGCCGAACCACUUCAUUCAGGGUCUUCUAUUCAUCAAUCUCUUAAAAAAAAAAAAAAAGCAAAAAAGAAGGAGCAAAACAUCAGGACUAGAAAUAACACUGUGUGGAACAACAUUCUCAGCACUAGCGCCAGCUCACUGGGGAGCUGCUGCUUGUGAAGCGGUGUCCUGGGUUACCAUCAUGCAAAGCUCAGAGACUAUUUAGCCCAUAUUUUCUUCUACUUCAAAAGUUUAGUGGAGAGCAGCUAAGCUCAUCUUUAAGAAAUCUGCUCGUAGGGCUGGCCAUUGACAGCUAGAUUAUCUCUUUGUAUUAUUUUUCUUUUGAAAUUUUGUCAUUUGAUAACACAGUCCACUUUGCAUUUGCUGAGGUCAGUGGGAGUCUGACCUCUGAUUAAAAAGCUUUUUUUGCUCAGAGUCAAAAGACAAAAAGCACCUACAGUUUCACACGGGACUGUAGGAAAACAUAUCACGUCACGACGUGGACAACAAAGAGAACAACUCCUAAUUAUGUAGCCAGGACACUGCCACAGCAUCAGCAGUUACAGGGCUCUGGUGCAUCACGGGGCUCAGACAAGCUCAGGGCAGCUAGCCUGUGAAUUGCAAGCCAUAGCUCACCAUCCAGUCCCUUAAAGGGAAAAUACUGUGACUUCUAGUCCUACUGUAACAGUUGCAAAAUGAUUUUUUAAUAAAGAAAUUUUUCUGAGCUGUAGAAAUCGUUUUGUAUCACUUUCUUUAGAGAUAUUAAGUGGGUACUUUUACCACAGAACUUCCACACAAUAAAAUAUUUUCAAACUUUAUGAAGAACCUUAUACUAUAGCUAAUUAAGAUGAAUAGUUUUAGGAGAUUCUGAGAAAAAAUAACACCUUUACUCAUAAAACUUGAUGACAGCACCUAAUGUGUUAGAGAGAAAAGUGGUUACACGACUGUACUAUAAUACUUGAUAUAUAGUCUCAUGGCUCUCCUCUGCUGUGUUUUGUAUAACCUAUGAAGCCAACAAAGCAGAGAUAAAGAAAUAACUCAAAGGUAGGGCUCACAUGAUUCAUAUUUCAAUAAAGAAGAAUUAAAAUAGAUAAUGGUUCUCAGACAAACAAGAGAAACACUGUAUUUCUUGAAUAUUCCAGCUGUGACCUCCUUAGAACUUCAUUAUAUCGCAGAUCCAUUCUCUCCAAUUAGUCCAUACAUUAACUGUUCAAAUUCACUUGAUUUCAAUUUAUGAAUUAUCUCUUCAGCAUUAAAAUAAUGUAUUUUAUGUGGCAGAUGGGUACUGAAAAAGUUACAUUCAUAAAUUACAUGCUUCAGGAUCAAAAAGUAUUCCAGUGAGUUUGCAAAUACCUUAAUGCAGCAUCACCAUUCCCCUGCAGGCUUCUGCUGCGACAGGGCAGAUCCCGCCAGUGAAACAGGAUUUCUACAUCUUUCAACUCUCUUCACUGUCACUGUUAAGCAUUUUGAAAAUCCUGUAACUCUCCCUCCUUCCGCCCACUCUGCAGGAGGCUCGGAAGGAGGUUCUUAACUACCUCUAUUCUUUUCUCCUCUUUUUUUCCUUUUUUUUUUUUUUUUUUAUAACAAAGACUGCUGUUGCCAGUUCUAAUUUAAUUAAGAAACUUUACAUGAAUUGUGCUUUGCAUCCACCUCAAGCAGACUGCAGUUUUUUUGUUUCGUUCUCCAUCAGUGUCUUUUCAGCUCUGUAGUGAUGAACAGACGGUUUGCGAAAGAUCAAUCAAACAUACCCCUAUUGUUGUUAUUUUGAUAGAAUUUACCUACAAAUAUACUCUAAGUUUUCUGGAAAAAGAAGGUAUUUGAGGGACAGAUCACAAGACAGAACCACAAUUGGAACAGUGACAUUUUUAUGAAAUCCAAAGAAGCAAGGCGUGCUGUUGAUUCUCAUAAGUCUCACCGACCUCAUUUGCAGAGCCCCCUCAACCCAUAGGUCUCUUUAUCCUCUUUGGAUACCCUCCUUUGGAUUUCGGGCACAGCUAUUCCAGGACAAAUGACUUCAAGCACGCUGAGACAGCUAAGUGGUGGCAAGCUUCCAAACACAUACAGGAUUUUUUAAAAGCACACAAACGGAGCCAGUUUCCAUUGCCCUAAACAUAGCAUAGUCUUUCACAUAAGGGCGAAGCAGAUAGAAAAUGAAAUCAGGAUCAGAACAAUGAUGUGUUAAUGUUAUGUUCUUUGUAUCAGUCUAAAUACUUCCAAGAGAAGAGAAAAGCCUCUCCAUAAACAGAUACGUUUUUUUUUCCAAUCUAUUGAAUUGUGGGAGGAAAGAGAAAAAUGGAUGGCAAAAAAUGGAUUUGAAAAACAUUAAGACAUUCCUGAUAUAAGCCAUCUAAUGAAUAUUUAAGAAUCUCUACCUUUUACUAGAGAUCCACGUUCUCAGAAAGCCUGAAUAGUUGUCCUUAACCUUCUCCUUAUCUGAAGAAACAGCAAAGUGACCUCACUGAAAAUUUCUUUUCAUGCACUAUUUUCAUCUGCAUCCUCCUAAACUCAUCUCUCUCAACUGCAAAAAAAAAAAACAAACAACAAAACAAAAAAAAACCAAAGAAUGAAGAAUUGCUUAAACGAGUGGGUGAAAAACAAAAUGCAACCACUUUAUCUAUACAACACGCUAACAGCAAUCACAUGAUAAAGUCUUUUGUUUCUAUGAACACAUGGAAUUUCUUGGUGACAGAAGCAGUGUAUUGCCAAAGCUGUGAUGGCACUGACAGCCUUGUGUGGGGCACAAAAGCACAAAUGCUUUUCCUAUGAGACCUUGACAGUACUGCUCAGGAGCCUACAGCUUUGAGUACCAUGAGAAACAGCUUGCUGCUUUUCUGUGUAGCAAAAAUAUUCAUGGCUACCAGCUGCUGCUUCAGCACUUGCCAAGGAUAUCAGCUUCACUGUUGAGGCAAGAUGCUGGAAGUGCCACAGUAAACUGUUCAAUUGCCUUUCCGAGCUGAUUAUGGCUGAAUACAUAAAACACAUAACUGUGUUUAAACAAGUCAGUUUUGAUGCAGAAUCCUCCAGCUGGUUACUCAUCUUUUAUUUCUCCCGUGUUUUGCACAACAGAGAAGGUUACACUUUAGGUAGUCCACUGUCUAAAACAUUUAUGUGGCUUGAUGACAGGAUUGAGCUGGACAUUAAUUGUUCAGGAUGUGCUCAUCCACUCAUAGUAAACAAUAAAAGCUGAUUUUAAGUAAGUAUUUGUAAUGCCAAGAAAGCAAGCGCGGAUAAUUUCCCUUCAGCAAUGGUGUUUCUUUUGUGAACGGGUGUGAGCCAUCUCCCCUGUGGACAGGCUGGGCCCUGCUCCUACCUAGUUCCAUGUGUGCAACUGUAAAGAACCUUUCCACUUUUCUGAACCAUUCACAUCACUGACGUACUCGUAGUCCCCUAGGGGCUCUGGUACCCCUGAACACAGAUCUGCACAGUUGUUGUGGUCUUUGAUUUAUGUGCCUCUGCAUGUAGGUGCAUGUUUCAAGGAAGUAUUCAAGAAGCCAAAUAACAGAUGACAAAAUCAAUUAGGAAGCUACACCAACAUGCUGGUGUGUUCAUAUCUAACUACCUGAAACACAAUCUUUUUUUUUUACUAGUUAUUCUACCUUGCACAUUCAUGCUGAGAAAAAAUUACACUCACCGGCAUCUGUGUUUAAAGGCAACUCUACACAUACAACUGUGACUCCAUGACACAGAAGGAAGCAGCAAGCACUUCUGAUGGAGUAGAGAGAAAUGGACCCUCAUAGUCCAUUUCCAUCUGCAGUUCUAUUUGAGGUUCAGAAUCCUUUGUCCUGCAGAUAACCAAGAAAAGAGCAGCAAAUGAGAAAGAAAUUACAUGUCACAACAAACAAGAAGAGACAAGAUUCUGUCCUCAAAGUUCAGAUUAGAAUCCAACUUUGCUCAAAGUUAAGUGACAUUCCACUCUAGAGUAUUCUUCAAGGACAAAUCUGGGAAAGAGAGAGAAUAAAAGACUUCAUUCUGUGUGUCCACUGCAUGGAAAGUCUCUUCAACACACAAUGUGAAAUGCUUUAUAUUUUAGAAAUCUAUCUACCAGGCUUAGUGAGCAUUGAAGUUAACAGAAAGCCUCCCACAGGUUUUACUGGGCUUUGGUUUAGGUGAUGUGUUUUAAUUCUUUUUUUUCUUAUGAUACUAAAUUAUAGAAGUUCUCCUUGCUCUGUUCCCCUCCACACUGCAGGCAGCAUGCACAGAAGCAUUUCUCCAUCUUCCUUGGUGUUUGUGUUUGAUGGGGGCUCCAUUAAACCCUCCUGGCUGUUACUGCUCAGAAGGAUUUAAUGAAUCAUAGAAUCACUGAGGUUGGAAAAGAUUGAUCUUUAUCCCUGGUAGCACCUAAAAAAUGGCAUUUAUGUAAAGAAUUUAUGCCAAAUUGUUUUAUGUUUUGUGUGAGAAUGUAGGAGCAAUAACAAUAAUAAUCAGACAGCAAAGCUUAUUUAAACACUGAGGCAGGCAGGUAAUGCUACUCAUAGUCAAGAGAAGUGAAAAUAUAAUACUGAAUCAUCAUCAUCUCUCAUGUUAUCAUUUUCACAUUAAGUUAAAAUUCAGACACAAAAAAGCUAUUUUUUUCUGAAUUUAUCAUAAUAGAAAUUAUAAACACAAAGUAUGAUAUUCUAUGUUUUUUAUUUAAGUUUUAGAGAAUAUCAGAACAAAUAAAUACCAGCAGUGUGCAACAAUCCAGCCCCAACCUUUCCAAACUUCUUUGUAAUACCCUAGGGGCUAGGACUCUUAAAUGUAUGUAAUCAAACACUUUAAAGGCCAAAACCCAAAGCUUUGGUGAUUAAAUACCCCCGUUGUCCCUGAGAGAAGCAUUCAACAUAUGCUUCCUCCGUGGCAUUAUAGAUUAAUUUUAUUUCAUCACAUCCAUAGCAUGUUUUAUUACUUCCAAGCAGCAUUCCCUAAUGUAUACAAUUGCCAGACAGAGUCUCUGAAAAUGAGAACUGAUACUUGGUGGGAAGAGAUGUCAGAAAGACCAUUUACUGUUUUAAAGUGCAGUAGAUGGAUGACCAGUGAACUCAUCCAUUCCAAGGCAAUUUUCUUCCUUUACUACUGAAAGGUUUCAUCCCCUUGGAUAAGAUGUUCACCAAAAGAAAUGGAGGUAGUUCUUCAUGAUGAUGCAUUAGAAGAGCUUUUUUUUUUUUUUUUUCUUUUUCUUUUUUUUUUUCCUUUAAAUAUUUGGGCAUUAACAGUUUUCUAAAUCAGAGAAAAUCAAAGCUCUUUCCUCUGUCAUGGUUUCUGGGAGGAGGCAGAGGCAAUUCAUUUGUUUUCUUGCUGUCAAAAACUUUAGUAUGAUUAAAACAUAAAAACAAGCUUAAAGUAGUCCUAGAAAGCAUGUCCAGUCUCAUUAGCAUUAGAAACAUUGUUUAGAUCAAACAUAUUUAAGAGUCCUUAUGCAGCUCUUUCCAAUCAGGCUUUCAGUGAUCUUUUGUCAGCAUCAUGGGACAUGCUACUAUUUCUAUUCCAUGCUUUGACCAUUUUCAAAACCCUCCUGCCAAGUCUCUGUUGCUUUAAAUUCAUCCCUACCCAACUGCUCAACCAAAUGGUAUCUACUCUCUCCCGCUCCAUCUCAUCUGCCACUGUAUCCACACUUUUUCCUCCUGUUUAGGGCUGUUGCCACAGCUGUUCAUACAGCCAAGGAGAAGCAUCACUGAAUUUUGCAAAAGAAUGUGCAGCCCCUUGGUUUGUGAAGAGACCAUCCACAUUAUUUCUUUUCCACCACCUCCACUCUAGGCUUUCUAAAUGGGAGGGGGGAUCUGGGCAAGCAUGCAAGCAGAAACUUGAGCAAAGCAGCCCUUUCAUGUAAAUAAAACUUCCAGAUUCUUGUUUAUAAACUACAUAAGCUAGUAUAACUGUAUGAAGCAACUAUAAAUUGCUUUACGAUAAAGCAACUGUUGGAUAGAAUUUAGAGAAAUUUUGAACAAUGCUUUAGAAAACAGAAGCUAAUUAACCCCAUAGCAUAUGUAGUUGCUGUCUCAAUAUUAAUGCAUUAUUCACACACCAUGGCAGCAGAAAGUAGUACAUAUAUAUAUAUAUAUUAAAAAAUUAACAUAUCAAGUGUUCUCAUAAAUCUAGAUUAUUAGGCUACCUAGUUAGCGGCACGGUUUAUGUCCCCUGAAAGUCUGAGCAUCUGCUAGGUACUUGUGGAUUUAUUCACAGGCUACCACAAUGAGGCAGUAGUAAGUUGCGGUAAAUGCGCUAUUUACAGCAUAAAUGAUGCUGAAGUGCUAAUUAGUGCUAAUUUGACUUGGCCCAUUUUGGACCUCUGACAAUAACAGCUCUUCGAAAGCAAGCAGAUCUGGCAUAUCUAAGGAAAAAUUCUACUUCUCUAUUUCUCCAUCUAUUAUGACAUCCUUAAUGCAAGAUGCAAAUAAAUUUAAAAUACCUAUUUUCCUGAAGUGUUAGCCAAGGACAGUUGCUACUGCAGACUUACUUCUAAAAGAAAACAUUACAUGUAUUUGUCUUAACUAGGAUUAUUAGAAGUGUUAGAGAAGGAAGAAGCUAGGGACAAAAUACGUCACUGAAUAUUGGUUCAUCUGUUAAGUUACGUACUCAUCUGAAAGUUAAUUAAAAAAAAAACAAAACACCCCUCAGCCCCCUUCCCUCCCUCCAAAACAAAACACCUUUUUUGUCUUUAAGAUAAGCAGAAGCUGUUUCCCAAAGAGAGAGUCAGCAACAGGAGAAGCCAAUUUCUCAGCUUUCAUGUCUGCCUUUGGGGCCUUGAUAACUGUAGAUAACUGUACUUUCCCCCAUUUUCACUAGAUGAAUCAGCCCAGUGAAGAAAAACAGCUUAGAGAUUCAGUAGGUUCAUCCUUUGAGAAAUAUGAUGCAGUAAACUUUCUUGAUCAGGAAUAUUUUUCUAGUAGGACAAGCUACAUAAUUAGGUUCCUUACAGAAGAGAACUUUGAAGCUACACUUUGCCUCCAAAUACUUGUCAUUUGACCCAGAAGGCAGUAAGUGAAAAACACUGAGCAAAUAAAUCAAAAAAAAGCUGACACGGUUUUCUGGGUAGUAAAGCUUCCGUGUGUUAACAGAAGGUUUGAUUCUCACUGCCUUUGAUAACUGCAGAAUGACAGGCAAAGUAAAGCACUACUCAGAGAAUGACAGUGUUGCAGAAUGUGUCCAGUGGAACCAUUACUCAAAAGAGGAGAGUAACUGCUUCAGCAGUCUCUCAGAUGAAUGGAAUACUGGGCAAAGACUGAAGGAUGUUUUCUAUAAAUUAUACUCUAAUAAUAAUAAUAAUACAUUUAAAUGCUUAAUUUAAAUACUUAAGUAAUCCUAUUUCAGGUUUAUCAGUUGCAUUUGUGCUUUGUCUCUCCUUAUAACUUAACGAAUAAGCAGAAUAUUAGAUAUUUCUGGUAACUACUCAUCUGGGGAAGUUACUGCUACUAAGAAAUGAGCAGUCCCAGCACCUUUAUGGGAGAGGGGAAAAAAAAGAUCACAAGAAGAUGCCUGCCAACUUCUGACGUUAAAAGCAGGAAAUAAUGUGGAUUAAAAGCCUGCAGAUCCUACAGCUGGGAAGAUAAAUAUACAGUAAAUGAAAGCAGAAGUAAUUAAAAAGAAUAUGGAACAAAAUUAAGAAUUACAUAAGACUGCUACUUCGCUCUCAAUGACACCAAAAUACUGCUAACUUAUUUUCAUUGAUAUAUUUGAUGGGAAGCAAAUUUUUGGAGUUUUGACUUUAAGUUUGCAGAUGUGAAGAUUCAGGUACAGCAAACAUGACUGAUCAUAAGCAUCUGAGAGCAACAGAAAGGCAACAUACUUUAGAAAACUUUCACAAAACGCCCUGAUAUUGUCUACUUUUCCUAUUUCUAAUGGUAUACUGGCGUUAGAAGUCUUCUUAUGCAAAGUUACAUCUCCAUACUUCUGAAAGUCCCCAUUUAGCACCAAAAGAAAAGGAGUGAUUUUAAUUUGCAAAGUUCCUGUUGUGACUGUGAGUAGCACAGGGGCACUGCAACCCUCUCAGCAGCAGGGGGCUCUUGGAAGUGAGAAAUUUGUUCACUGACUUCCCAGGAAAAACAUUCUAAAGGUGCUCUCUACACAAAGAUUGUUAAGGGUGUUUGUCCCUGCACUGCAACCAAGGCACUCUCAGAUCAGAGCCGGACCACAUGCACUGGAUCAAAAUUUCUGAUCAUCAAAAAAAACCCAUUGCUAUGCACUACUUCAAAGAGCAGAGCCAUUCUGCGCUCAUCCGAGCUCACACAUUUCUGUUCUAACCAGACGAUUCAGAGAACUGCUACUUCUAACAAGGGCUAAAAUUUUCUUCAAGUAAAGAACCUACAUUUGCAACAUAAAACAAGUUUACUGUGGAGCUAUUUGUGCCAAGAAAGAUACAUUCUCAAUAUCCUUUCUGCUUUUCCCCACCAGAGCUGUUCUUUAGCAGGUAACAUAUAUUUCCAGCAUUGCUGACACAAAACAGCACAGCUACUGCAUAAGUGUACAAACCACAUAUGCUGACAAAGCUGAAUGCAGCGUGAAUUAGACAAGUAGUUGUCAAAGAUGAUCAAGAACCACGGGCAGCUUAAUUCAGAUGAGUCAAAUACUGCUUUAAAAAUGUCCCAGCUGAAAACAAAAGUUUAGAAUAGGCUGAUAAGCAGACAUCAUUCACAAAGAAAAACUGUUGGACUUUGGGGAUAUCUUGUUAAAGGAAUUUUAAAAGAGGCAAUAAACGUAAUUAGGCACAAGAAUAUAAUUUUUUAAGUGGAAGUAGACCAGAAACUCAGGCCCACCAUGUGCAGCAAUCCGUUUAUAUCUGUGACUGUUUUCCUGCACUUUUGUUGUUGUUGUUAUUCAAACUAUGAUUACGGUUGUGAUGCAUUUAGGGUAAAAUUUAACACUCUAGGUAUUAGUUCAAGCAUUAUCUAGGAGCUAUUAAAUCCUAGCUCACUGAGGCGUUACGUGUUACAUCUCUUAGUGGAUGAAUUCCACUAUAGCCAAGCACCACACUUUGUUCACACAGCUCCAUAUUGAUUAGCCCUGAAAACUGGGUACUUUUAAUACAGAAGAAAAGGAAUUUGUAGAGACCCUGGCACUGUUUCAGACAGGAAUUAUUUAUUUUCUUAAAAAGCCUUUGAAUUCCUAUCAAGUGCAGGUGUUAUUUGCUUUUGUUUCUGCAGAAGAUUAAGUAGGCACAAGGGUGUGUUUCACCCUUGUUGCAACUGUAAACCUAUGGCAGAAAUUGUCUUCCACUGACAUGUUCAAGGAGAAUUUUGCUUCAGUAAGUAUUAAAGAAUUGGUUCUUAAUAGGUCCACAGCAGAAUUAACUGUAUAAAGAUUUCUGAUGUAGAACAUACUCUCAAAAUUUCCAGUAAUGGGCUCAUACACCAAGGUUCCCCCUAAAACAAAAGAGUUACUCUGUGCAUUCCAGAAGCAAGGCACCAGCAGCACAGGCUAGGGGCUAAGCAUACUUACUUACACCGGGGAAAAAAAAGAUCUUAACAGAAUAAAAAUAUUGUUAAAUAAUUUUAAGCUAAACAUCUUGUGCUUGGAUUUUUAAAGAGCUAAGAGUCUGUGUCAGAUGGGGGAUAAUCCAUCGUGAUACAAUUAAAGUGCAGCUUGAGGAUGACCUGCCUCUGCAUCUCACCCACUAGAGCAACUUUUAUUUUAAGCUGUCCCCUCUGUUUGCUUCUCAAAUGCUUCUGAAGAAGGAAAGCCAAAAGUUCUUGACAGUGCUCUUAAGGCAAGUGCUUUCUGCUCUCUUUUCCUCAUACCAGUAACCUGUCUCAUCUCUGAAAUAUACGACAGCACAGAGACAAGCAGUCCUGGUGCUCUCUUCUCAUGGAAGUACCUGCCACUGCACCCUCACAAAUAUUACAAAAAAUACAAUUAUUUGACCUCCGCAAGACGACACACCAGGUCUGUCCACAUUCUGAGGCAAACUGAAUCAAUACUGCUGUGUUAGUAUAAUCCUAAACCAGUUCUCACAUAACCAGUUGGGUGAGCAUGGUAUUAAGUUGUGGCAAGCUGAUCAUGGCUAUGUGGUUGUUGAAAGCUCAAACAAACCUUGGGCAGAUUUUACACAAUUGAGAGUGUAUUCAAGAGACCCUGGAGACCUACUUAUACAGAGUAAUAAAUGCUUGGAACUAGGAUACACAGGGAAAAAGCUAACUGCAAAAUCUCUCUUUCUGAUCUCAAGUGUAGAAACACACUACACACACCAGACCAUGUUUUCAGCUGAAGCUAAACAGUUAGUCCAUAACUUUGGUAGUCAUAGAAUGUCCUGAGUUGGAAGAGACCCACAAGGAUCAUCAAGCGCAUAGGCCUGAUUCACAAAUACACAUGAGAAUAUCUUAGUAUGGCCAUUAUCUACAAUACAAGACUACUUAUUCAACAAGAAAAGACUAGUAGAUUUUAACGAGAAGCUGGAAUGUUCUUCCAAAGCCAAGAAGAGCUUGCACCGUGGGUGCAGACAAUACUGGUACCAGGUAGAAGGCUGUAGUUGAAGUCCUGAGUUUUGAUCCAUUUCCCUGCUCUGACUCUCAUUCCCAUGUCUUUUUGGGCAGAUAUCUCACACACUGUCCAUUUCCUUCCUUCUUUCCUAGUUUGCUUACUUACAAUAGCAGAUCCACGAAUCAGAGAUGUUUUCUCUAACACCACUGUAGUCUCCUUUAUCUAGAAUCUGAAGAUCACCUCAGAGACACGGUGAUAUGGAGGAGCAGAGACUAUAAUGGCAGCUGCUGAUUGAACAAAGAAUGAAAUGUCCAAAGUUGUAAAUACAGUCAGUUGAUGAAGAAAACUCCUCCCAAACAGUCACAUAUACAGUAACGUAUAAAAUAUCUUUCACAUCAUUAGAAGAGUUCUCAUUCAGAUAACUUUGGAGGAGGGGGGUGGGGUAGAAGACCUCCAGAAGCACCUUACAAUCUUAACUAUACUGUGAUUCUGUAACUGUCAUAGUAUCAUACAUCCUUGUUAAGCUUAAACGGAUCAUUUCCCAGUCAGUUCAGAGAAUUUUCAUUUAGCUCCAUGUGUAAUUCUUUAAAUAAUUACACAUGCAAUAAAUUAGUGAAAAAUCAAAGAAACUGCCUGCACUUAGACUACCAGCUUAAUUUGGCAUGCUCUGCUGCACGCUUCUAAAUGCUCAAAGUCUUUCAGGCCCUGCUUAAACCAACAGCCUCCUCACUGUGCAAAUAGUCUUUAUAAAAAAAAAUAGCAAAUUAAAUUUCGCACUUAGUGAGGUGUGAAAUUCUUACGACGUUUUGUUAAAAAAAAAAGAGAGAGAGAGAGAUUGGGAUGUGCCACUGUCUUGCCUCCAAGAACAUGUUUCUGUUUGGAAAGUGAAAAUCAUCAACAAUCAUCAAGUUAGGUGGGAAACAAACACUGUUAUAAAUCCCCCCUGCUCUCUGUAGAAGCCAUGGUAAGUUUUUUAAAUUGUUAUUUUAAAAUUCUCUCAUUAUGUGGCUUGCACUGAUUAAGCUGAGCUGUUUCUGCUUGUCCUCUUCCUUGAGCAGAGUCAGUUUUCUCAGGUGCUUCAGCUGACUUCCUCUUUUUAUAGAGAAACACAGAAGGGAAGGGGUGAAAGUCUCAUUCACAACAUGGUAGCACAAGGUAACUUGCAAGUAUAAAUGUGCAGAGCCCGUUUUGUUUUGCUUAAAAUAAAAAAAUUAAAGCGCAUUAUAAAAACUGAAAUGAUUAAAGCUUAUUUGUCAUCAAAACUAAGAAAAAUAUUUAAUAUCUUGAACAUUUAGUCAUCACAUACAUGAAGCAGGACCACUUUCAGGACAGAAGUUUUUAGAGUAUUCUGAACUGCAUUGAUUAACAUUUCAAAUCUCUGUGAAUCUCCCUAGAGCCAAUGGCAUCAGCACUCUGUCUGUACAACGUUUUCUACUUACAGGAGAUAAGGAUCUGAGGACCAGACGUUGGUUUGGCAUGUCCAUUUCUGAAGGAGCUUAACAGUGCAGUAUCACUUAAAUAAUGAAGCACCCAUCUGGAAGAAGAUUGCUUAGGUUGGCUAAGUUUGUGCAAGGUCAGUUGAGCCUCUAAGCUUCUGUAUACUGAAAAUUAAGGAAGAAGUUUACAGGGCAACAAGCAGAACUGACUGAUACACUUUGGUUGUACAAAGUCUUUCUUUUAAAAUCAUUUUCUAUUGUGUAAAUAUAGAAGGGAGCAGAGUUAUUCUUGUUCUCAGACAUAUUUUCUGAAACAUUUCAUUAUUUACUGCACAUCUAUUCUAAAAUAUGUAUUUUUAGGAAAGGUAGGCACACUACAAUACAGUGCAAAGUAAUAUUUAUAUGUAUCUUUUCACAGAAGGUCUACUCCACUACUGUGCUUUGCAGAUUAUUGGUUAGUCUUAACAAAGGGAGAAUAAUCCCACAAAGCUAGCAAAAAUAGGUAAGGAUUAGGUUCAGAAAAUAUAUUUAGUCAUUCAGUAAUUUUCACAGAAUGACAGUAGCUGUUCAGUACAAACUCUGGUAUACAUUAAUUUUUAUACAUACCUUUAUCAUCUUGCUUUGCAGAAAAUAUGACAACCUUGAUGGGAAGAAAUUCAAGCUGAAAUCUUAUAUAUUAUAAUUAAAUAGCAGGCAUUUUUAUAAACUCAGACUGACACAGAAAUGAGACAAACAUACUGAACAACCUCUUUUAUCACUCAGUAAAUGACACUGGUGGUCUACAGUUCGAAAAAAAGGAACAGUAACUAUUCUCGUUCUAAUAAUUUUACAAGAUAGCCAUUCUUCUGCAGCUAUCCACAUCCCAGCUCAGUGCUUUAACUGCAGUAAUCUUUGCCUCUGAGUCUUUGGUGUUUAAAAAAGGCAUUCAAACACUCAAACACUUAUUGCAAUUUAGCUGAUUCUCUAUUAUCUGAACAUUUCAACUUCAACACCGUUUUGUUGCUGCUUUAGUGGGUUUUUUUCCUACUCCUUUUGGCAAGCAUUGAUUUUCCAUUAGUACUUCUGACAGAGCAUGAACCAGCUGUUAUGUUUCAUGAAGUGAUACAGAAAGGAGUGCUCACCCUCAGAUGGAUGCACAUACAAACACUGAACUAUCAGCAGGAGUACCGCUCUCUCUAUCCCACUCUUUUCUCCUGCUAGUUUUUUCCUUUUUGAAGGGACAAUGUUAAGUAGCUAACCAAGGGAAGGGGUCAGAAAACACCAUCACAAGUCAGUUGUACUUAGGUUCCCCCUCUGAUGGUCCUCAAUUGCCAUGCCAGCAGAUAUCAGAACUUGAUUGCUGAUCUCUUCUGAAUGGUGCUGGCUCUUUCCACAGAGCGGCCUAGUGCCUUAGUCACCACAGAUCAUGCUGUCUAGCUUUGCUGUUUCUCGGCAUCCAUUUUCUAGGGUUUUGUCCUGGAGUGACUGAAUAUUCAGAGGAAAAUCCUAACAGAUACGCAACUGUACAGAGUAACUGGUACAGUGUAGAGAUAAGUGUACAGCGUACAGGUAUGUUGUCAUGGUUGCCUGUAAGUAUAAUCCUGGAGCCUUCUCUUCUCCAAGCUAAACAAGCCCAGUUCCCUCAACCUUUCCUCAUAGGAGAGGUGCUCCAGCCCUCUGGAGGAGGGAGAGACUGAGUGAGUUAGUGACAUAAGGACGCCCCUUUUUGGCUCCACCUGCCGAGCCUUGCAGUACAGUUAGGAGGCAUUUCCUUUCCCAUUUCUCUGAUUUAUUAAUCUUAAUUUCUUUUAUAUUGUAUUAUAUCACAUUAUUUUACCUUUUCUAGUAAAUUAGUUUAUCUGUCUAGCUUGUCCUUUUCACUUCUCUGCCAGCUUCCCACAAGGGGAGGACCAAUCCCCCCAUCAAGUGACAAAAGACCCUCAACCUACAACAUAUGUACACAUAAGUCUACACAGAAAUCAGAAACAAGAUAAACAUUCGCCUUUCUUGGCUUCUCCCAUUGUUCUCAUAUCACUAUCACAUGACAAUGGUCAGCUUCUUCUAGGCCCAAUACACUGAAAUAUGAAGCUAACAUCUGAACGUUCCAUUAAAGCUAAAGGUCUUUUUGAUGAGCUACCCAGAUACUUUUAAAAAUAUUCUUCAUUUUAUGAGCUAGUAAUUUUAUUUUAAGAAAAAACAUAUCUGAUAUGAUAGUACAAUUCCCCUACAGAGAUGAGUAACACCCCACAGCUCAAACAUCAUUUUCUGAAUCAC